UGGAGUCUAUGGCGUGGAGUCAUGGAGGUCUCGUUGGCCCAAGUGGUGCCGUCCCCGGCGCCGGCGAGGCUGAAUCCAUCGGGGUGCAGAUAGUUCGGACCCGAUUGCAAUCUUCUUCCCUUGUUCGGGGUCUUGUUUGCAUAAUGCAAGGCCUAGUUUGUAAUUUUGUGUUUCCAUGGGGUCCUGUUGUAAAAUGUACUAUCAUGCUUAUCAAUGGAUGACUGGGUCCUUCUGGACCCUUCCCUUGUUCAAAAAAAAAAAAAACUCCUGCACACACAAAAUAAAAAGGUCAUGAACAGAUAAACUCCGAGCCAGCCCGAAGCUGACAGCUAAGGACAAGAACGUACGUGACCUAUGGGCCAUGGUGUGCUACUGCUAAAAAGAGUCUUUAAUUUUCCUUUUUAAGGGAUGGGCCUCUUGCUUUUUUUGGUGCAAAAGGUUUGCAGUCCUGCUGGCUGUACUACACUAACUUGGCGUGUCAAGCACUGUAGCUAGUACUAGCUCGUAGGUAUGUACUGUUCUCCCAGCCAACACGACAGCCUGCCUCCUAGAUGGUGCACGACAGCUCUGCAUGAUGGAGGCUGACACGAGACUGCAGUGCCACAACAACAUUGGUGGCGAGCCUCUCCGAUGCGUUGCAUGCAUCAUUUGGGGAUGGAUCUGUGUAGGUCACGUCGAUCUGGCCCAACGAAAGGCAUACAAAUUUCGUUCAUGUUUGAAUAUUUAGGGCUUCUUUGUUCAAAGGAUUCUCAAAGAAAUUUUGGAGGAUUUCAAUCCUUAUAAAUUUUUUUCUACGUGGGUUGUUUGAUUCGUAGAAUUGUAAACCAUAUGAAUUUUUCCAUAGGAUUCAUUUACACUAGAUUUCAUAGGAACUUUUUCAUCCACUCAAACCUCUUUGAAAGAAUCCUACGUUUUUUCUAUGCACAAUCAAACACUCGUACAAUCCGAUAGGAUUCAAGACGACAUAUCACUCUAAUCCCACGUUUUUUCUAUUCCUACGUUUUGGAAAUCCUGCGAAUCAAAGAGGCCCUUAGUGUGAAAACUAAAACAAUUCCACUUAAGACGAAACCUUAAAAAGAACAACUCUGAAACAAAUUCCCCCGUUCAAACAUUUUCAGAAGUUGCAUAAACAUUUUAUCAUGCACACUUGAAUAUUUUAUUAGGUGAGUACGUAAAUUUUGCAUUGAUUUUGAAACAUUUCCUUAAAUUUUGUUUCCAUACAAAGUAUUUUCCAUCUCUAUAUGUAUUGAAUUUUGUUUUUUUAUCUGGCACUCAAAUUUUUAGUAAAGUGCGUGAACAUUCUUUUGACGCACACUAGUAGAAAACCCCCUAUUAGUCCCGGUUGGUGAGGGCCUUUUGUCCCGGUUCUUGAACCGGGACUAAAGGGUCGUUACUAAUGCCCUAGACCUUUAGUCCCGGUUCUAACAUGAACCGAGACAGAUGGGCCUCCACGUGGCCGGUGCGCCGACCUUAGGCAGGAGGGCCUUUGGUCCCGGUUGGUGGCACCAACCAGGACCAAAAGGCAUCCACGCGUCAGCNNNNNNNNNNNNNNNNNNNNNNNNNNNNNNNNNNNNNNNNNNNNNNNNNNNNNNNNNNNNNNNNNNNNNNNNNNNNNNNNNNNNNNNNNNNNNNNNNNNNNNNNNNNNNNNNNNNNNNNNNNNNNNNNNNNNNNNNNNNNNNNNNNNNNNNNNNNNNNNNNNNNNNNNNNNNNNNNNNNNNNNNNNNNNNNNNNNNNNNNNNNNNNNNNNNNNNNNNNNNNNNNNNNNNNNNNNNNNNNNNNNNNNNNNNNNNNNNNNNNNNNNNNNNNNNNNNNNNNNNGUACUGUACAUAGAGAGGCCCUCGACACGCUAGCUAGUAAGAAAAUGAAGGAAAUCAUUAAGUACAGAAGUUCGUCAUGCAUACCGAGAGAAGUGAUCGAUCGACCUCUCCUUCUCCGAGAGAUUGGUCGAACAACAAGUUUUCGUAUUAUCUACCCAACGCUACUGGCUACAUACAUAUACAAUAUAUAAGAUCUCUUACAAUCCCCUAGCAUUUGAAAUCAACUUUCACAUGGUAUUCUCCGGCUUUAUUGAUGAUGUGGUCAAAAAAGAAUCCCGCCAAUUCCUCUUGAAUUGCUUUCAUGCGAUCUUGUUCUAGGUGUUCAUUCCGCAUCUGCCACGUCUAAUUUGAAGAAGGGGGUUAAUACAUAUAUGAAUGAAACUCAACAAAAAUGAUGGUGUAAUAAAAUGAAAUUGUGAAUAUUAUUGCUUACACACUUCAUAUUGUCUUUUAGAGUAGCCCCGCUUAUUUUUCAAAGUCGCCUUGUAGAUGAACUCGCACACGUAGUAUCCAUAUAAAUUAUUUCCUUCUUCCUUCCACAAGCACUUUACGAGAAAUAGAGGUCAAUCAAACUGGUAAUGAAGCAUUAUAAAUGGCAUUGAUGAAAGUAUAGCUAUAGAAUCAACGGGAGAUGCGCGCAACUAGCUAGCUAGUAGUACUUACUUUUGGGUAUGUAUAUCGCAGCUCCUUCGGCAGUCCCAGAGCUUCUGCGGUGAACUGUUUCCAAACCCUGCAAGACAAAGAAAAUAAUUAUUAUUACUUGAGAUACCAGGAAAUAAACAAAAAGUUGCCGAUAUGGUGCGAUAAUGAUCAAUUGAACUUACUUUGUUGAGCAAUUUAGUCAUGUCCGCAUAGGUUUCGGGAUCUUUUCGUCUCGAGUCUAAGACGGUUACUAGUCCCCGCUCAAGCUUAAUCUCCAGAAGAACAUAGUGGAAGCUGUGCACGCAUGCAUAACUCAUCAAUUACAUUACUAUAACCUCGCUCGAGUAAUAAGGGAAAUUUAACACUCACUUGAAGUUGUAAGGAAAGAGUAUUAAAUCUUUGUUUUGAUUUUUGAUCAACGAUUGUAGCAAGUUGGCCUCGGCCUCUGCAGCCUUCUUUUUAACCUGAAAUUCAUCUAUGAUAUUUGUGUUAAUGAACCCAAUAUCAUACAUUUCUUAUUUUUUUGCACUCGAAGAUCUUCAAUCUGCAUAAUAUAGUGAGGAUAAUUAAUUAUAAAUACAUGCAAUGAAAGAGCCGAGCUAUAUAUAGAGACUUAAUGACAGAAAUAGUACUUACAGACAGUAGCAAAAGACCGUUAAUUUAUCGAGGGCCUUUUGAUUGAAGAACUUGAAGAACUCCUCAAAUGGAACAGGCAACAGAUCAGCUCCAACGAGGUCGUGCUCCUCUUUAAUUCUCAGAUACAAAGUAUUCGUCCCCCCAGACUCUCUGCAGAUUUUCAUGUACCAAUUAUGGAAUCUUCGCAUCAUCGUUGUUAGAGAUUUUUCAUCUUUGACGAGAGGCUUCCCAUACUCGUAUCUGUGUUCAUCCACCUUCAAGAAAUCAAAAUGUACAUCGUCAGGCAGGUAAUCUCCAAGAUUGCUAUAACAGGGCACCGUCCCCGGAGCAUUAGCGACGAUGUCGCUAGACACAUUGAGCGGAGGGCACGAUUGCUUUGCUUGUUCGCCGAGCUGGGCAAUUUUUUUCCCAGCUGCUCGUUCUUUUAACCUUUGAUCACUGACAGUACUUCCCGACCGCUCUGCUUGGAGAUAUGCUUUUUCAGUAAUGCGCUCAUAGUUGGUUGUCGGCGGAGACUUUGGUGGUUUCCUCAGGGCAUCGAUAGUGCGCUUUGCUUUCACCGGAUCUACCUUCUCCUCCGGAGGUGGAUGUCUCUUUGCUUUCAACCCUUCAAAGAAGUCCUUCACUUCGGUCUGCACGAUCUUCAUAUUUUCCUCCUCGGUCCUCUCGUAUGGUAACUUCUCUAGAGGCUUGAGAGAUGGACCGUAUCUGUAUUGCCUCCCGCCUCUGGCUGUACUGCUAGAUGCCGGAGCAGACGAAGUGGCUGCGGCUAUCUUCUUUCGUGCUUGCUUACGAGGCGGGGGAGAAGGACUACGACGCGCCGGAGCAUCCGGGGCAGCAGUGGGUCUCUUUUGCCCUUGCUGGCGAGGCGGAAAAGGAGGAGGAUGCUGGCUGCUCUGGCGCGCCGGCGCAGGCGGAGAAGGAGGCGGAGUGCCGCCACGCGCCAGAGAAGGAGGCUGAGUACCCUGAUCGUCACUCGCCAGAGGAGGAGGCGGUGGAGGAGGCGGAGUGCCCUAACUCGCCGGAGGAGGAGGAGGAGGCGGAGGCGUCCAGUUCGGAAGGUUGAUGAACUCCUUCCGCCAUAGGCAUGGAGUCUUCAGAGCAGAACCCAGCAGAGUUCCCCCUUCACCGGUAGGGUGGUCAAGCUGGAGGUCCUCAAAUCCCUCUGUUAUUUCGUCCACUGUCACCCUAGCAUAUCCUUCUGGAAUCGGACGACAGAGAAAAGUUGCGCCGGGUUUAGAAGGUCGAACAGAGCCGACAGCCGCCUUGACUUUUAAGUUCUGCCAUUGCGUCAUAAGGUGGCAAUUUUGAGACUCCGUGACAGCAUCCACGGGGUAGCUAGCAGGAGCCGUCAAGACAUGCUCCGGCUGAAGCAGCUCGGUGGAAGCCAUGCUGCUUCUCCGCUAAGAUGGCGGGGUAGCUUCGGGGGAAGCUUCGGCAGUUCAUUUGCUGCGAUUUGUUUCUCGUUCCUCUAUCGCUUGUAUCCUUGCGUGCAGCGCCUGCAGUUCAGUCUGCUGCACUUUCUUCCUCCUCUCCUGGCAUUUGUAACCGCCUGCGUCCGGAAACCCAGCCUGCCACGGAACGGAGCCUGGCGUGCCUCGUGUCCGUCCAGGGUGCUCAGGAUUCCUGAGGGCCAUUGUGAGCUCGUCGUUCUCUCUAUCUGGAACGAACGUCCCUUCCUGCGUUACAUCUAUAUAGUGCCGAAGCCUCUUGACUGGUAUUUUCAAUUGCUUGUCCGUCCAAUGGCACUUCCCUGAUACAGGGUCCAAGGUUCCGCCAGCCCCGAAGAACCAAGUCCGGCAACGGUCUGGCCAACUCAUUGUCUCUGGUUCGAUCCCUUUAUCAAGCAGAUCAUUCUCAGCCUUGCCCCACUUAGGCCGGGCUUUGAGGUAGCCACCUGACCCCGUGCGAUGGUGAAGCUUCUUCUUCGCAGCAUUUUGCUUGUUUGUCGCCGACAUCUUUUUACUCUUUUCCGAUGUCUUGUGGGCCACAAAUGCGGGCCAUUGAUCUUUGAUCUUCUCAUAUUUGCCGAUGAAUUCCGGUGUCUCUUCUUUGUCGACAAACUUUUUCAGCCCAUUCUUCCACCUCCUGAAUAGGUCUUCCAUCUUCUUAAGAGCAUGAGACUUGAUUAAUUGCUCUUUAACUGGCUUCUCCGGAUCCUCCUCUGGCGGUAGGUUGAAAUUUGCUUUCAGCUCAGUCCAAAGAUCAUCUUUCUGCAUAUCAUUGACAUAAGACACCUCAGGGUCUUCGUUCUUAGGCUUAUACCAUUGGUGGAUGCUGAUCGGGAUCUUGUCCCUAACAAGAACCCCGCACUGAGCAACAAAUGUGUCCUUUGUCCGGAUGGGUUCAAUCUGUUCACCGUCGCGCACGAUUGCUAUGAUCUCAAACCUUUCAUCUGAGCGCAACUUUUUCUUCAGGCCUCGUCUCUUUACCGAAGUUGUGCUCGAUCUGGAGGGCUAGAAAAAAGAAGAAAGACGAGAGUUAAUUAAUAUGUGUACAUAUAUACCAAAACAAUGAAUGCAUCAAUUAGCUAGUCAGCACAGGAUUAACUAAUAUAUAUACCUAGACGGACUCGGUUCGGUCACCGGAGCCGUCAUCACGGUCUCCUUCUUGCACCGUCAUUGGGUCACCGGAGCCAUCAUAAUCAUGUCUUUCCUCCUCCAUUCUUCGUUCACCGUAGCCUACUUCUUCACCCUGUUCUUCCAUACCAUCAUUAUCGUUAAUAUACGAGAAGAUAUCACCUCCGGCUAAGAUUAUUUCCCCCAACACCUCUUCUGCUUCCUCGUCUCGUAUGUGCUCCAUUGUUUCUGCAAAUAUUACAACAUGGCAAUUAUUACACAAACAUGACAACAGGUGGAUAUAUUGGUGGCAAACAUAGACCGAGCUUAUUCCGGGUUUGGGGGUGGCCUCGGCAACGCUUCAAGGCUAGGGGCGCGGCGGGAGGGGUAGGAGACCGACAUCGUUUUCCCCCUAGGGUUUGGGUGUCCUCAAGAGUUUUGGUCAAGCGAGAGGGGGUGGCCUCGAGAGAGUUUGUCGGGUAGGUGCGCGACGGGAGGGGGUAGGAGACCGACAUCGUUUUUUCUAGGGUUUGGGUGGCCUCGAGAGUUUUCGUACAAGUUAUCACAGUCGAGAGGGGGUAAUAUCGACAACGACGACAUACAUACACGGGAAAAUAAUGUUAUCGGGGGGUAUAUCGACCCCCCCCCCACGUGUUGAAGUUAUUGGGAGGGGGUUAUAUCGACAACGACGACAUACGUACAUGGGAAAAUAAUAUUAUCAGGGAGGGGGUAUAUCGACCCCCCCUCGUGUUAAAGUUACCGGGAGGGGUAUAUCGACGAUGACAGACCCGAUAAAACAUAAGAAAACGAAGAAGAAAUAAAAAGAGAAGAAGAAGAAAGGAAUAGAUCGAGUAGAAGAUCAAGAAGAAAAAAGAAGAAGAAAUAAUAGGAGAAUAAGAAAGGAAUAGAGGAGAAGAAGAAUCUAUUUUUUCUUCUUCUCCUCUAUUCCUUUCUUCUUCUCCUCUUCUUUUUCUUCUUUUUUCCUCUUCAUAUUUAUUUCUCCUCUUCUUCUCCUUUCUUCCUCUUCUUAUUUUCCUUUUUCCUCUCAUUCUUUUUCUUCUUCUUCCUUUCCUAGCUAGAUAUAUAAAACUUUCUAAAAAUGUAACUUUUGCAUAUAUAUAAAACUUUUUCUUCUUCCUUCUUCUUCCUUCUAUUCCUUCUUCGUAAAUAUAUAAAACUUUUCUAAAAAUGAAACUAACCUAAUACACCAACAUAUAUGCAAAAAAACAUACAUACAAAGCAUAUAUCCAUACAUCAACAUAUAUGCAAAAAAACAUUACAUCAACAUAUAUGCAAAAAACAUACAUAUAUCAUCAACAUAUAUGCAAAAAAAGCAUCACUAUGGGCGGCGGUGGUGGCAGGGGGCAGGGCAGGGCGCGGGGGCUCACUAUGAGCGGCGUCGAUGACGGCGAGGUCGGGGCCGGCUGAGGCAGAGGCGGUGGCGUGCGAGGCAGGGGGCGACGUCGGGGCGACGCAGGGCGGCGACGGUGUCGGGGCGNNNNNNNNNNNNNNNNNNNNNNNNNNNNNNNNNNNNNNNNNNNNNNNNNNNNNNNNNNNNNNNNNNNNNNNNNNNNNNNNNNNNNNNNNNNNNNNNNNNNNNNNNNNNNNNNNNNNNNNNNNNNNNNNNNNNNNNNNNNNNNNNNNNNNNNNNNNNNNNNNNNNNNNNNNNNNNNNNNNNNNNNNNNNNNNNNNNNNNNNNNNNNNNNNNNNNNNNNNNNNNNNNNNNNNNNNNNNNNNNNNNNNNNNNNNNNNNNNNNNNNNNNNNNNNNNNNNNNNNNNNNNNNNNNNNNNNNNNNNNNNNNNNNNNNNNNNNNNNNNNNNNNNNNNNNNNNNNNNNNNNNNNNNNNNNNNNNNNNNNNNNNNNNNNNNNNNNNNNNNNNNNNNNNNNNNNNNNNNNNNNNNNNNNNNNNNNNNNNNNNNNNNNNNNNNNNNNNNNNNNNNNNNNNNNNNNNNNNNNNNNNNNNNNNNNNNNNNNNNNNNNNNNNNNNNNNNNNNNNNNNNNNNNNNNNNNNNNNNNNNNNNNNNNNNNNNNNNNNNNNNNNNNNNNNNNNNNNNNNNNNNNNNNNNNNNNNNNNGCUUAUAUAGCAAAGCCAUUGGUCCUGCUUCAUGGCACCAACCAGGACCAAUGCCCCCUUUAGUCCCGGUUGGUGCCACUAACCGGGACCAAAGGCCAGUUUUCGGCAGCCCAAAGGGCGGGAAGCAGGGGCCUUUGGUCCCGGUUGGUGGCACCAACCGGGACUAAAGGGUGGGCAUUGCUACUAGUUGGUGCCACGAACCGGGACCAAUGCCCCUCUUUAGUCCCGGUUGGUGCCACGAACCGGGACCAAAGGCCCCUGCACUGCCCGCUUCGCGGCCAAAGUUUAGUCCCACCUCGCUAGUUGAGAGGGGCUCGUAGUGGUUUAUAAGCCCCACUGCGGCUACCCUCUCGAACUCCUCUCAAAUGCAGGCUUACGGGCCUAAUCUCAUACUGUGCUGCCUGUGGGCCUACUGGGCCUUCUGCGGGCCUGAAUCCUGGCCCAGGUUGGGUUUCUAGUCGUAUUCAGGCCGUGGUGGCCCAAUAGGUGGCAGUUUUUUUAUUUUUUUUCUAGUUUUUUUGUUUUGUUUUUUGCAUCAUUUAUUUUCUUUUGUUUUUUGCUUUAUUUUUUAAUUAUUUUUGCUUUUAGGUCAGAAAAAUUAUAAACUUUCGGUUAGUGCCAUUACUUUUGAAAUUUGAAUAGUUAAAAUUUGAAUUCUUUGAAAUUUGUGUGAAUCGCAAGUUUGUGAUUAACUUUACUAUAAAAAUAGUUUUUUCCAGUUUUNNNNNNNNNNNNNNNNNNNNNNNNNNNNNNNNNNNNNNNNNNNNNNNNNNNNNNNNNNNNNNNNNNNNNNNNNNNNNNNNNNNNNNNNNNNNNNNNNNNNNNNNNNNNNNNNNNNNNNNNNNNNNNNNNNNNNNNNNNNNNNNNNNNNNNNNNNNNNNNNNNNNNNNNNNNNNNNNNNNNNNNNNNNNNNNNNNNNNNNNNNNNNNNNNNNNNNNNNNNNNNNNNNNNNNNNNNNNNNNNNNNUUUUGUUUUGUUUUUUGCAUUAUUUAUUUUCUUUUGUUUUUUGCUUUAUUUUUUAAUUUUUUUUGCUUUUAGGUCAGCAAAAUUAUAAACUUUCUGUUAGUGCCAUUAGUUUUAGAAAAAAUAUUUUCUUUUUUUUGUUUUCUUUGUUGCUUUAUUUAUUUUAUUUUGUUUCUACUUACAACAAAAUACUUAUUGUUGCUAUUUUUAUUUAUUUUAUUAAAGUUUAUGUUUAAUUAAUUUUCUUUUAAGUCACAAAAAUUAUAAACUUUCUGUUAGUGCCAUUAGUUUUCAAAUUUGAAUAGUUAUAAUUUGAAUUCUUUGAAAUUUGUGUGAAUCACAAGUUUGUGAUUAACUUUACUAAAAAAAUGAGCAUAGAUGCGCCUAUAGAGAAAAUCAACCUAAAUUCAUAAUAAAUUUCUAUGAAUUUCAGAGAAAUUCAGUAUGAAUUUAGGUCAAAUUCCCUGUAUAAGGGCAUCUAUUUUCACUUUGAGAGGAGCUCAACAAGGCAGAGAGGGAGGGGCUUAUAAACCGGUGUGAGCGCCCUUCGGUUGGUGAGGUGGGACUGAACUCUGACCGCAACGAGGACCAACCCUUUAGUCCCGGUGGGACUAAUGGUCAUGGGCCAUGGGCGAGGCGCAUUGGUUCCGGUUCGUGCGUGGAACCGGGACCAAAAGGUCCAGACGAACCGGGACCAAUGGCCCACGUGGCUGCCCUCUUGAGUGUUCUUGGUGAGAACAUAGUUGACAAGGAGCGAACCGGGAUUAAUGGUAUUACGAGGGCCGAACCAUAAGACAUUAAAGCAUUUCAAAUGAACUCUGAAAAAGUUGAAAGUUGGCAUGGUAUCAUAAUUUCACCCACAUAGCAUGUGCAUGUACAAAACGGACAAUGGUAUCAUACUUGGGUCAGCCUUGCGGGAGAAAGUCUUCACUUUUUCUUCGCUUGUGUCAUUUGCUUAUUGCGUCGUAACCAUGGAUAAUCUUCAUCGUUUAUCAGGAUGCUUGGGUCAGCAUUGACUUUGAAGGGAGGAAUUUCAUGAAACAUUUCAUAAUCUUCAGACAUGUCUGUCUUGCCCUCCACUCCCACGAUGUCCCUUUUUCCUAAAAGAACUAUGUGGCGCUUUGGCUCAUUGUAUGAUGUAUUCGCUUCCUUAUCUUUUCUUUUUCGCGGUUUAGUAGACUUGUCCUUCACAUAGAUAACCUGUGCCACAUCAUUGGCUAGGACAAACGGUUCGCCAGUGUACCCAAGAUUAUUCAGAUCCACUGUUGUCAUUCCGUACUGUGGGUCUACUUGUACCCCGCCUCCUGACAGAUUGACCCAUUUGCACUUAAAUAAAGGGACCUUAAAAUCAUGUCCGUAGUUAAGUUCCCAUAUGUCCACUAUGUAACCAUAAUAUGUGUCCUUUCCCCUCUCGGUUGCCGCAUCAAAGCGGACGCCGCUGUUUUGGUUGGUGUUCUUUUGAUCUUGUUCAAUCGUGUAAAAUUAAUGUAUUCGCAUUUAUCUCGUAUCCUUUGUAAAUCAAUACAGUCAAAGAUGGUCCCCUGGACAACAAGUACAGCUCAUCACAAACAGUCUUGUCACCUCCGAGACGUGUUUCCAACCAACUGCUGAAAGUCCUGAUGUGUUCACAUGUAAUCCAGUCGUCGCACUGCUCCGGGUGUUUGGAGCGCAGACUGUUCUUGUGUUCAUCGACAUACGGGGUCACCAAGGUAGAGUUCUGUAGAACUGUGUAGUGUGCUUGAGACCAAGAAUAUCCGUCCCUGCAUAUUAUUGAGUCCCCUCCAAGUGUGCCUUUUCCAGUCAGUCUCCUCUCAUACCGCGAUUUAGGGAGACCUAUUUUCUUAAGGCCAAGAAUGAAGUCAACACAAAACCCAAUGACAUCCUCUGUUUGAUGGCCCAUGGAGAUGCUUCCUUCUGGCCUAGCGCGGUUACAGACAUAUUUCUUUAGGACUCCCAUGAACCUCUCAAAGGGGAACAUAUUGUGUAGAAAUACGGGCCCUAGAAUGACAAUCUCGUCGACUAGAUGAACUAGGACGUGUGUCAUGAUAUUGAAGAAGGAUGGUGGGAACACCAGCUCGAAACUGACAAGACAUUUCGCCACAUCACUCCUUAGCCUUGGUACGAUUUCUGGAUCGAUCACCUUCUGAGAUAUUGCAUUGAGGAAUGCACAUAGCUUCACAAUGGCUAAUCGGACGUUUUCCGGUAGAAGCCCCCUCAAUGCAACCGGAAGCAGUUGCGUCAUAAUCACGUGGCAGUCAUGAGACUUUAGGUUCUGAAACUUUUUCUCUGCCAUAUUUAUUAUUCCCUUUAUAUUCGACGAGAAGCCAGUCGGGACCUUCAUACUAAGCAGACAUUCAAAGAAGAUUUCCUUCUCUUCUUUGGUAAGAGCGUAGCUGGCAGGACCUUCAUACUGCUUUGGAGGCAUGCCGUCUUUUUCGUGCGAAUGUUGCAGGUCCUCCUGUGCCUCAGCUGUAUCUUUUGUCUUCCCAUACACACCCAAGAAGCCUAGCAGGUUCACGCAAAGGUUCUUCGUCACGUGCAUCACGUUGAUCGAAGAGAGGACCUCUAGGUCUUUCCAGUAGGGUAGGUCCCAAAAUAUAGAUUUCUUCUUCCACAUGGGUGCGUGUCCCUCAGCGUCACUCGGAACAGCUAGUCUGUCGGGACCCUUUCCAAAGAUUACGUGUAAAUCAUUGACCAUAGCAAGUAAGUGAUCACCGGUACGCAUGGCGGGCUUCUUCCGGUGAUCUGCCUCGCCUUUGAAAUGCUUGCCUUUAUUUCGACAUUGAUGGUUGGUAGGAAGAAAUCGACGAUGGCCCAGGUACACAUUCUUCCUGCAGCUUCCCAGGUAUAUACUUUCUGUGUCAGCUAAAUAGUGCGUGCAUGCGUGGUAUCCCUUGUUUGUCAGUCCUGAAAGGUUACUGAGAGCGGGCCAAUCGUUGAUGAUCACGAACAGUAACGCCUUUAGGUCAAAUUCCUCCUGUUUGUGCUCAUCCCACGUACGUACACCGUUUCCAUUCCACAGCUGUAAAAGUUCUUCAACUAAUGGCCUUAGAUACACAUCAAUGUCGUUGCCGGGUUGCUUAGGGCCUUGGACGAGAACUAACAUCAUAAUGAACUUCCGCUUCAUGCACAUCCAAGGAGGAAGGUUAUACAUACAUAGAGUCAUGGGCCAGGUGCUGUGAUUGCUGCUCUGCUCUCCGAAAGGAUUAAUGCCAUCCACGCUUAAAGCAAACCAUACGUUCCUUGGGUCACUUGCAAACUCAUCCCAGUACUUUCUCUCGAUUUUUCUCCACUGCGACCUGUCAGCGGGUGCUCUCAACUUCCCGUCUUUCUUACAGUCCUCACUGUGCCAUCGCAUCAACUUGGCAUGCUCUCUGUUUCUGAACAGACGUUUCAACCGUGGUAUUAUAGGAGCAUACCACAUCACCUUCACAGGAACCCUCUUCCUGGGGGGCUCGCCGUCAACAUCACCAGGGUCAUCUCGUCUGAUCUUAUACCGUAUGCAGCGCAUACCGGGCAUGCGUUCAGAUCCUUGUACGCACCGCGGUACAGGAUGCAGUCAUUAGGGCAUGCAUGUAUCUUCUGCACCUCCAAUCCUAGAGGGCAUACGACCUUCUUUGUUGCGUAUGUACUGUCGGGCAAUUCGUUAUCCUUUGGAAGCUUCUUCUUCAAUAUUUUCAGUAGCUUCUCAAAUCCUUUGUCAGGCACAACAUUCUCUGCCUUCCACUGCAGCAAUUCCAGUACGGUACCGAGCUUUGUGUUGCCAUCUUCGCAAUUGGGGUACAACCCUUUUUUGUGAUCCUCUAACAUGUGAUCGAACAUCAGCUUCUCCUUUUGACUUUCGCAUUGCGUCCUUGCAUCGGCAAUGACCCGGCGGAGAUCAUCAUCAUCGGGCACAUCGUCUGGUUCCUCUUGAUCUUCAGCAGCUUCCCCGUUGCAACAUCAUUGGGCACAUCAUCUGGUUCCUCUUGAUCUUCAGUAGCUCCCCCCGUUGCAGCAUCACCGUAUUCAGGGGGCACAUAGUUAUCAUCGUCCUCUUCUUCUUCGCCGUCUUCCAUCAUAACUCCUAUUUCUCCGUGCCUCAUCCAAACAUUAUAGUGUGGCAUGAAACCAUUGUAAAGCAGGUGGGUGUGAAGGAUUUUCCGGUCAGAGUAAGACUUUGUAUUCCUACAUUUAGGGCAUGGACAACACAUAAAACCAUUCUGCUUGUUUGCCUCAGCCACUUCGAGAAAAUCAUGCACGCCCUUAAUGUACUUGGAGGUGUGUCUGUCACCGUACAUCCAUUGCCGGUUCAUCUGCGUGCAUUAUAUAUAAUUAAGUGUGUCAAAACCAUUGCAGAACAUCAUGAAUAGAUAAUUAAGUGACCAAAUUAAUAGAAGUUCAUCAUCACAUUAAAACCAAAGUACAUACAUAGUUCUCAUCUAACAACAUAAAGCUCUCCAGAGCAUCUAAAUUAAUUAACCCAUACAUUGAAACUAUGUAAAACAUUUCAAUGCGAAAACAAAUGCGAUCAUAAUUGCAACCAAGGUAACAAUUGAUCCAACGGCAUAAUGAUACCAAGCCUCGGUAUGAAUGGCAUAUUUUCUAAUCUUUCUAAUCUUCAAGCGCAUUGCAUCCAUCUUGAUCUUAUGAUCAUCGACGACAUCCGCAACAUGCAACUCCAAUAUCAUCUUCUCCUCCUCAAUUUUUUUAUUUUUUCCUUCAAGAAAUUGUUUUCUUCUUCAACUAAAUUUAACCUCUUGACAAUAGGGUCGGUUGGAAUUUCUGGUUCACGUACCUCCUAGAUAAAUAAAAUCUAUGUCACGUUGGUUGGCAUAAUUUUCAUAAACAAUAAAUGAAGCAAUAGUUAUAAAGAUAAUAUAUACCACAUCCGAAUCAUAGACAGGAUGAGGGCCAACGGGGGCGGAUACCAAAACCAUCGCACUAUAUAAUAACAAGCAAUAAAAUAGUAAGAAAAUUAGACAAGUAUCUAUCUAAAGCAAGAAUAAUUUUUUUCCAGAAAGAAGAUAAGAACAAGAGGCUCACCACGGUGGUGCCGGCGACGAGAUCGGCGCGGGCGAUCGAAGACAGUGAAGACGGGGGCGGGGUGUGAUGGGCCGCUAAUAUAAACCUAGACAAAUCUCGGGAAAAAUAGAGUUCGGAGGUCGUGCUUCGAGAGGAGAAAGCUUAACUAGUGUGGCUCGGGCAUUUCAUUGAACACCUUAAGUGCAUAGGAGGUGAGCUAGAGCACCACAAAGCCCUCCCCUCCCCGGCCAGAGAAAAACAGAGCAGUGGAGUGCUCUGCUCGCGGGCGAGGGGUAUAUAUAGGCACCUCAAUGGUCCCGGUUCGUGGCAUGAACCGGGACUAAAGGGUAGCCAGUUGUCCCGGUUCGAUCCACCAACCGAGACCAAUGGUGGUGGGCCAGGAGCCAGGCCUAUUGGUCCCGGUUCGUCCCACCAACCGGGACCAAAAGGUCCAGACGAACCGGGACCAAUGGCCCACAUGGCCCGGCCGCCCCCCUGGGCUCACGAACCGGGACUAAUGCCCCCAUGGGUACUGGUUCUGGACUGAACCGGGACUAAUGGGCUGACCCGGCCUGAACCAAAGCCCUCUUUUCUACUAGUGCAUGUGAUUUCAAAUCGAGAAACGUGGAUAUUUUACCAUAUAAACAUGAAAAGUAUCUUUUAAGACAAGUUCCCAUUCAAUCAUUUUUUGGAGGUUGCAUGGAAAUUUAAUUUUACACACUUGAAACAAUUUUAGCAGGCAUGAACAUUUUCCAAAGAUGGUGGAACACUUAUUUUUAAAACCGUAGAAAAUAGACAGUACAAUAGUAUAAUAUAUUCACUUAUUAUAAAAUCUGUUUUGUAAAUUACAUUUUUAGUAGAACAAUUUCAUUUUCUUAUUCUAGUUUUUAGUGGAACUUUCUUAAUCUAGUUAAAUCGCAAAAGCCUUCACUACCUCUUGUGUUUGAAUCAAAUCGCCAAAGAUAUAUAAUAAUUGAUCACGAUUAAUAAUUUCUUCAAUGGACAUGCAAGCAGUAGCUAUCCACUUAUCCAUACACAAGAUAUUUACUAUCUACUACAUUUGUUACGUGAAUUAAAACAUUGAUCAAUCAUACAGGCCCAAUGCAUGUUCGUUAACAUUGUCUUGUUCCCAUUUAGCCCUGUAAGUGUAUUUUGAAUAUUUACUUGUCAAUUAUAGUGGCAAAAUGUAUGUGUCAAUUGAGUAUGUUGCUAUAAAUGACAUACUUGCAGACUAAUGGUUGCUCGUGACAAACGUUCUAUGUCGAACUGAUGGGCAUUAUAAGAAAUCCUUGCUAGAUAUUAUCCGCAAUAAAAGUACAUGUAUGUGUAGAGAAGUCCUUAUCAGCUUUACCGAAAGCCCUUGUCAGCACUAUCAUGAUCUUGUUAAUAAUUUUACUUGAGGCCACCAUGAACCUUUCUUUGAAAUUCAAUUAAAUUGCGGCCUGUUUGAUUCACUACAUCAUGAACUUUUUGAAGUUUUCUCCUAUGCAAAUUGUUUGAUUUGUAGAAGAAAAUUAUUUUUCAAUCGUUCUUCAACAUGGUUCUACUAAGUCCAACGUCAUAAAUUGUCACACUGAUCUAAAUUUUCAGGAAAUAUUAUGCGUCUUUUCUAUGGUGCAACCGAACAAUUUUGACUACACAUAAUCUAUUUCAGAGUUUCUCAUAAUUUAACAAUGCAAUGGCAUUCAAUUCCUACCUUAUUCGUAUUCACGCGUUUCCUGAAAUAUUACAACCAAAAUAGGCUCUACCACCAUUCAUUCUUCAAGGCAUCACCCAAAUUUAACCGUUACAAAAUGUUAUGAAAAUUUGGAAAGUACUUAAUUCAUAAUUUAUCAAAUUUUCAACAAUUACUUGAUUAGCAUAAUACUUUUUAUGCAUUGCGACUCAAAAGCUAAGGAUGUUUGAUAACACAACUUGUACGGCUCAACUAUGCAUUACCCAUUAGGAACGGCGUAGUACCAUAAAAACACAUUUUCUUCCCCCAACCUUUGCGUUGGUGCCAUAUAUAUACUACUCCCUCCGUUCACAAAUAUAAGAUGUUCAAAACAGUGUGCCAUAUGCAGACACGUUUUAGUGUGUUUGUUCACUCAUUUUAGUUUGUAUAUGGUUCAUAUUAAAAUAUUUAUAACAUUUUAUAUUUUUGAAUGAAAGGCGUAUCAUUUAGAAUACGAAAUCGACUCUCUAUUUCAUUACGUAUUCAUUCCACGGUUGCAAGCUGAAAACUCACCACCAAAGUCCUGCACAAAAGAAAAAAGGUCACGAGCAGAUAAUAACUCCCAAACUAGCAUUUCGAAAGCUCAAGGACAAGAACUGCGUACGUGACCUAUGGGCUAUGGUGUGGUACUGCAUGCCACAAAGAGUUGUGUUUUUCUUCUUUAAUUUUCUUUUUAAAGGCAAUUGGCUUCUUACUUUAUUUGGUGCAAAAGGUUUGGCCGUCCUACUGGCUGUACUACAGUAGCCUGGCAUGUCAAGCUCUAGACACUGUAGCUAGUAGCUCAUAGGUUUUUACUGUUCUCCCAGCCAACACGAAGCCCCCACUCAAGUGUUUGCUAGGACUUCGGAGAAUCCCAAGCGCGUUCUCCUCUUGUCCAGGACUGAAGAAAGAACUGGAAAUUAAAAAAACUGGAAAAACUUGAGCCCCUAUAUUUGUUCUUGGGUUGUGUAUAUAUGGGUUUGUCCGCUAUCUAUCCUCUGCUUUCUGCGUUCCAUAUAUCUAGAUUUGUCAUAUUUCAUUUUAUUUAGUUGUCCCACGUCUAUCCUUUCAUAUUUUUUAAAUCAUUACUAUUGUCAAGCAUCAUUUGAUAUCUAUCUAUCUAUCUAUUAAUUGCACUAUGCUCCCUAAAUUUUAAGGCCUCACAAUCAAUUGAGGUCUCCAAUUUGAAUUCGGGUCACCCGAUUUUGAUUAGGUCAACAAUUUAUCAAGGAGUUCUCUCAUUCAAUUCUAUUAAUUCACUAUGUUCCUUAAUUUUGGACAUCUCUCAUUCGAUAUUGAGGUAUUUGAUUUUGGAUUUGGUUCAUCUUUUGACUGAGUCAAUAAUUUUUAAUUAAAUCGGCAGCAACCAACCUAUAAAAAUAUAAAAAUCCGGCAUGCUCUCUCACCACUUAGAAAAAAGAAGCGUCACCUUGUGAUAUUAUAGUUCCAGUAUAGUAUAUGCAACCACCAGCGGACAAAAAAUCACAUAAAUAUGAGUUGAUUAACAGAUAACAUAUAAUCACACCGCGAAAGGCCCACUAAACAUCUCAUUAUAUAAAUAGAAGAAAAACACAGUACAUCAUCUCUUCACUCGCCAAACCAAAUAUUGUCUCAGUUCCGAAAUAUAUAUUGGUUGAUUAGCAGAUAACACAGAAUCAUAUCAUGUCCCACCAAAACACCGCAUUAUAAAUAAAAAUAAAACACACUCCAUCGUCUCUCCACUCGCCAAACCAGAUAUUCUCCCAGUUUCAAAAUACAUAUGGGUUGAUUAGCAGAUAACACAGAAUCAAACCACAAGGGUCCAUCAAAACACCGUAUUAUGAAUAAAAAUAAAACACAAUUCCAUCAUCUCCCCACUUGCAAACCAAAUAUUCUUUCAGUUCCAAAAUAUAAGUUGUAAUUUUUUUUUCAAAAGUCAAAUUUAUUCAGUUUCAUCAAGUUCAGAGCCAAAAAUAUCAACAUCAACAAUCCUAAAUAAAUAAAAUAUAGAAAUUCAUUUCAUAGUGAAUCUAACGCUACCGAUUUGAUAUUAUGGAUAUUGAUAAUAUUUCUCUACAUACUUUUUCAAACUUAAAGAGGUUUGAUUUUUCAAAAACUAAUACACCUUAUAUUUUGAAACAAUGAGAGUUAAAAAGUUAUGAAAACACAACAACACCAACGGCGCAGCAAAGUGAGCCCAACCCUUCUAGCAUUUAUUAUAUAUAGUUCAAAUGAGUGGAAUACAUCGGUACCGUCCUCAUACAUUGAACAAAGAUGACAAAGCCGUGUUAGGCAUUCCUAAGAAAAGAUUUGUUGGUUCUGUGCAUCCUAACUAUACAGAGGCUGGGUAUGUGUGCUCAUAUCGUCUUGAUGCUACAUUUUGAGCUAAUAAAUUCCACCCUUUGUAAAAAAAGAAAAGAUUUGUUUGGACUUUUAUUUUGUUUGAAUUCAACGCAAUACCAUGGAAUAGAGGCUUCAUGUUUUUUACCAUAUUUGCAUUAAGAAGAAGACUACUGAUGAUCCGCAUAGGUCGUCGCUCCUUUCGGGAGUGAAUCAGGUGGAGCCCUAGCCAGCCGGCAUAGCCCCUGCCCCUCAUCUCCUACCCUCGCUACCGGUGGAGGGAACCCACAUACAAAGCUUGCACAACAUCGGCGACAAAAUGACCGUCCUCUCGCGUGAAGGCGCAUGCUGCCGAGGUGUGUGGAGGCACGACGCAAUAUUACAAGCCCUUGGAGCCGUGGUAGCCCUGCCAGCGGAGCUCCUUCCAGCGGGGGUGGCCCUACAUUGCCGGCAGUGGCCACCUAGGCCUAUUUUCCGGAAAGCUUCAGUUGUUUGAUCUGAAUUUUGGAAUAAUAACUUUGCUUCCGAAGAAAACAAAGGCUGUGAGAAUUGAGCAAUUCAGGCCUAUCUGUCUUCUUAAUGUUAGUUUCAAAAAUUUUACCAAGGUUGGGACUAAUAAACUCACAAAGAUUGCGCACUCUGUGGUGCAGCCGACCCAAACUGCUUUCAUGCCGGAUAGAAACAUCCUAGAAGGGGUUGUGGUCCUUCAUGAAACGCUUCGUGAAAUCCAUACGAAAAAAUAGACGGGGUUGUUUUCAAAGUGGAUUUCGAAAAAGCGUACGAUAAAGUCAAAUGGCCAUUUCUGCAACAGGCCUUAUGCAUGAAAGGUUUUGAUCAGGCCUAGAGACACCGGGUUGAACAUUUCACGCAAAAAGAAGUGUUGGAAUCAAAGUGAAUGACGACAGAGGUCACUACUUCCAAACACAUAAGGGCCCAAGACAAGGAGAUCCGAUCUUACCUAUCAUGUUCAACAUAGUAGUUGACAUGUUGACAAUGCUGGAAUUUUUGUCCAUUUGGACCUAGCCCAAUAGCAGUUUUAGAAAUUCCUAAUAAAUCCUAGAGGCCCACGCAGCCCAUUAGUGCAAGGCAAGAGGUGGAACUAAAGUUUAGUCCCACAUUGCUAGUUUAGAGGGAGUUGGACCUCUUUAUAAGGGAGGCUCUUUCCCCACUUGUAUGAGCAUGAGAACAAGAGGGACAUCCACACGUGCUCCUCCUCCGCCGCCCGCCUCGCCACGCCACGCCACGCCUCGUCACGACGCAUCGCGCCGCGCCGCGGGUUGCGGGAAUGAGCUGAGCCGAUGUUUAAAUUUUUGCCAUGCACUACGGGUAUACGAAAGGUCACACGGAAGCUGAAAAGUUUUUGCGAUAAGUGGAGUUUGAAUGAACGGUGCAACCCUUCGGCUGCUGGCUGUUCGCUUCAUCUUCGACUCUUCGUUUCACCUUCCGUGGCUGCCCUCUCGCCUUCUUCUCGUGCGCCUAUAAAAGUGAGGUCGCUCCUCUCAGAGAGACGCACCAGAACUCAUUCUUCUUCUGGCCACCGGUUCCUAAACACUGCGCUGUUGCUACGAUCUUCCUCAUCCCGGCUUGCAGCGUGCACCGUAGGUCAGGACAGUAGGCCUCCUAAACCGCACCUCUUUGAGUCCUGUUCGGGAGAAGGGUGAUAAGGUUUUUGGGGAGCGCUCUGCGCAACUACUGACUUCUUCGUCACGGAUGCCCCGGACUUCGACGACUACUUCCCCGACGUCGACAUCCUCCUCGACGACAUGGAGGACGCCGACCCCAAGUCCAGUGCCUCUGCUCCGGCUACUGUCUCGUACGUGUUCUUGUUUUUCUUGUUAGAGGUCCUGUCACAGUUGCUUGUUCUAGUGUUUGCCCUAGACAUGUUAGGAUCUACCUCAUAUAUGCAUCUUCAUCUACCGUCUGCUCUAGAGAUGAUCGGUUCUAGCUCAUAUAUGCAGAUGUUAUUUACCUUCUCUUUGUCAAAUCGCAUGACUUGUUUUAUCACUGCUAUACUAGUCAUGCUUUAUCUAGUAUUUCUGUUAAUAAAAUCAUUUGGUAAAUUGCUCAUAUUUCCAACAAUCCAAAAACCUUAUUAUAGGCAAUUUACCCCGAGUGGUUUUGCUGCUUCCAUGAGACCUCCUAUGUUUGAGGGUAUCCACUAUAAGAGGUGGCGCGUGAGAGCAGUCUUAUGGUUUCAGACCAUGAGCUGCUAUGACGCCACUCUUGGCAAACCUGGAGGAGGGCAAGAUGCCCAACAGUCACAAGCUUUUCAGAAAAUGGAUACCUUGUUUAAGGCUGCUCUCUUGAGUGUUCUUGGUGAGAACAUAGUUGAUGCUUAUGCGUCAAUUGAUAAUGGAAAAGAUAUGUGGGAUGCACUCGAGGCCAAGUUUGGGGUCUCGGAUGCUGGCACUGAUCUGUACAUCAUGGAGCAAUUCUAUGACUACAGGAUGACUGAAGAGCGCUCCGUGGUUGAGCAAGCUCAUGAGAUACAGUCAUUUGCUAGAGAACUUGAGCACUUCAAUUGUAUCCUACCGGGCAAGUUUAUUGCCGGAGGUAUCAUCACUAAGCUUCCGCCCAUGUGGAGGAACUUUGCUACCUCACUAAAGCAUAAGAGGCAGGAGUUUUCCAUUCCGGAUCUCAUUGGUACUCUUGAUGUGGAAGAAAAGGCGAGAGCAAAGGACAACCGUGCUCGAGGUAUUGAGGGAGGUUCUAGUGCCAAUCUGGUACAAAAUAAGAACUUCCAGCCCCACAAGUUCAAGAACAAGGGCAAGUUUGAUGGUAAAGCAAAGUUUGAUGGGAAGAACUAGGCUGUGCAGCACACGAACUUCAAGAAGAAGAAUGACAAGAAGAAAGGUGUUUGUCAUGUGUGUGGAGAUCCUGAUCAUUGGGCUCCUAGUUGCCCCAAUCGCUAUGACAAGCGUCAUCCUGGGAAAGGCGACAAGACCGCUAAUGUUGUCAUUGGAGACACUAACAUGAAGGAUGCUGGGUAUGGUAUAUUUCCCACUAUUCUUUCAGUAUGUCAUUCUCCUGAUUGGUUGAUUGACACGGGUGCUAAUGUGCAUGUAUGCGGUGAUGUUUCCAUGUUUUCGUCUUAUCAGACCGCAUGGACUUCAACUAUGCUGAUGGGCAAUGGUUCAAGUGCUUCUGUUCAUGGUGUUGGCACGGUCGAUCUGAAGUUUACUUCGGGGAAGAUCAUGCGGCUGAAGAACGUGCAUUAUGUCCCCUCCGUCAAUAAAAAUCUUGUUAGCAGAUCUCUUCUGUGUAGAGAUGGCUACAAGCUUGUCUUUGAGUCGAAUAAAUUUGUAAUUUCCAAGUAUGGAACCUUUGUUGGUAAAGGCUAUGAGUCAGGAGGCUUGUUUCGUUUAUCCUUAUCAGACGUUUGCAAUAAAGUUGUUAAUCAUAUUUGCAACAAUAGUGAAUCAAAUAUGUGGCAUUCACGUCUUUGUAAUGUUAACUUUGGUUGCAUGUCGUGACUAGCGAAGUUGAACUUAAUCCCUAGUUUCACCUCUGUCAAGGGAUCCAAGUGUCAAGUGUGUGUGCAAGCUAAGCAACCACGUAAGUCUCAUGUGACUGCGGAAACGAGAAAUCUUGCACCACUAGAACUCAUACAGUCAGAUCUAUGUGAAAUGAAUGGUGUUUUGAAAAAAGGUGGAAAGAAAUAUUUCAUGACGUUAAUUGAUGACUCCACUAGAUACUGUCAUGUGUAUCUUCUGAAAUCUAAGGAUGAUGCUUUGAACUAUUUCAAGAUCUAUAAAGCUGAAGCGAAAAAACAACUUGAUCGAAAGAUCAAGAGGCUUAGGUCCGAUCGUGGUGGAGAGUAUUUCUCAAAUGAAUUUGAUUCCUUUUGUGAGGAACAUGGUAUAAUCCAUGAGAGGACGCCUCCCUAUUCACCUCAGUCAAAUGGGGUGGCCGAAAGGAAAAACCGUAUUCUAACUGAUUUGGUUAACGCCAUGUUAGACACAUCGGGUCUCUCCAAGGCAUGGUGGGGGGAGGUGAUAUUGACAGCAUGUCAUGUCCUAAACCGAGUUCCCACAAAGAACAAAGAGAUAACUCCAUUUAAGGAAUGGAAGAAGAAAAGGUUAAAGCUCUCUUAUCUACAAACCUAGGGUUGUUUGGCGAAAGUCAAUGUGCCAAUUCCAAAGAAGCGGAAGCUGGGACCAAAAACUGUGGAUUCUGUUUUCCUGGGAUAUGCUUUUCAUAGCAUUGGUUAUAGAUUCUUGGUUGUAAAAUGUGAGGUACCUGACAUGCAUGUCGGUACGAUCAUGGAGUCGAAUGAUACGGCUUUCUUUGAAGAUAUCUUUCCAUGAAGGAUAUGGCUACCUCAUCUAAUCAGGAGAUGCCUAGUUCAUCGAAUCAUGAACCAGUUACAAUUACUGAACCCGCCAUUUCGAUGGAACACUUUGAAAAACCGAUGAAGGAGAACAAUGAAGUUCCUACUAGGAGCAAGAGACAUAGGAUUGCAAAGUCCUUUAUUGAUGAUUUUCUUGUGUAUCUCAUAGAUGACACUCCCAGUUCUAUUUCAGGGGCCUAUGCAUCUAAGGAUGCUGACUACUGGAAGGAAGCAGUUCGUAGCGAGAUGGAUUCCAUCUUGGCGAAUGAAACUUGGGAGAUAACUGAUCGUCCUUAUGGGUGCAAAACUAUAGGAUGCAAAUGGGUAUUCAAGAAGAAGCUUAGGCCUGAUGGUACUAUUCAAAAGUACAAGGCUCGACUCGUGGCAAAGGGUUAUACCCAAAAGGAAGGUGAAGACUUCUUUGAUACUUACUCACCUGUGGCUCGACUGACCACUAUUCGAGUUCUACUUUCACUAGCUGCCUCACAUGGUCUUCUCAUUCAUCAAAUGGAUGUUAAGACUGCUUUCCUAAAUGGAGAGUUGGACGAGGAAAUUUAUAUGGAACAACCAGAUGGGUUUGUAAUAGAUGGCCAGGAAGGGAAAGUGUGCAAGUUGCUGAAGUCUUUGUAUGGACUCAAGCAAGCACCCAAACAGUGGCAUGAGAAGUUCGAAAGAACUUUAACAGCUACAGGCUUUGUUGUGAACGAAGCUGACAAAUGUGUGUACUAUCGCCAUGGUGGGGGCGAGGGAGUUAUGGUUUGCUUGUAUGUUGAUGACAUACUGAUUUUUGGAACAAAUCUGAAUGUUAUUAAGGAGGUCAAGGAUUUCCUAUCUCGCUAUUUUGAGAUGAAGGAUUUAGGAGUGGCUGAUGUCAUUCCGAACAUCAAGUUAUUGAGAGACGAUGAUGGUGGGAUUACAUUGCUUCAAUCUCACUAUGUGGAAAAGAUCUUGAGUCGCUUUGGCUACAGUGACUGCAACCCCUCUCCAACACUAUAUGAUGCUAGUGUGUUGCUUCGAAAGAAUCGAAGAAUUGCUAGAGACCAAUUGAAAUAUUCUCAGAUUGUUGGCUCGCUUAUGUACUUAGCCAGUGUUACAAGACCUGACAUCUCUUUUGCUGUGAGCAAACUGAGCCGGUUUGUCUCAACACCAAGAGAUGUGCAUUGAAAAGCUCUAGAGAGAGUUUUGCGUUAUUUGAAAGGCACUGCGAAUUAUGGAAUUCACUACACUGGGCACCCAAAUGUGCUUGAAGGGUAUAAUGACUCAAACUGGAUCUCAGAUGCUGAUGAGAUAAAGGCCACGAGCGGAUAUGUAUUCACUCAUGGAGGUGGCACUGUUUCUUGGAAGUCUUGCAAGCAGAGCAUCUUAACGAGGUCAACGAUGGAAGCAGAACUCACAUCACUAGAUAAAGCUACGGUCGAAGCAGAUUGGCUUCGUCGGCUCUUGAAUGACUUGCCGGUUGUUGAGAAACUUGUACCGGGUAUCCUUAUGAACUGUGAUAAUCAAACUGUGAUCACGAAAGUGAACAGUUCAAAGGAUAACAUGAAGUCAUCAAGACACGUUCAGAGAAGGUUAGAGUCUGUCAGAAAAAUGAAAAACUCCGGAGUUAUUGCAUUGGAUUAUAUCCAAACAUCUAAAAAUCUGGCAGAUCCUUUUACUAAGGGUCUAUCACAUAAUGUGAUAGAUAAUGCAUCGAGGGAGAUGGGUAUGAGACCCACAAUAUGAGUUUUUCACAGUGGUAACCUAUUCUUUGUGAUCGUAGAUCCCGUGAAUUAGAUGUGGAAGACAAGCUGUUGGUCAACUGGGAGGAGUACCUUUACUAUUAAAAAUACCACUCCAUGAAGAUGCAAUACUCUCCUAAAUCUGCAUGGCGGGUUGAUGUAUAUCUUAAUGUGUUCUAAGAGGCUCUUUGAAGCAGAGAUGUUGUCCUGCAGAACAUCUUUUGAAGAACGCACCUAUAUGAGUCUCAUUGUUAAACAUCGCAAUCUAUGAGAGUAGGGUUGUCUCACUACAAAAAAAUACACUUCCGUGAUGAUACAUGUUUGUCACAGUAGGUCGCGUUUUUUGUCAUGCACGUACAUCCAUGACAAAUUUAUGACAGAAUCAAGAUAGUCAUACCUGUGCUGCCGUAGAAGUGUUCCAUGACAUUACCAAAAUUAUCAUCACGGAAGUGUCCACUUCCAUGACGAUAAAUCACGCGUCAAAGAAGUGCUUUCGUCAAGGGUGACCGACACGUGGCAUCCACCGUAAUGGAACACCGUUAAGCUAUCGGGUCGGAUUUUGGAUCCGAUAACCCAUUAAUAGCCCCGACCAAUGGGAAAUUUCCACGUGUAAAAUUCUGAUUGGCUGAAGGGAACACCUGUCAGCUCGUCAGUGGGCCAGAUGUCACUCGUCCAUUGGAGGAGACAUGCCUAUGGUACAUCGACACGUGGCUGGGCCCAACAGAGGCCCAUAUAGGUUAAAAAGGCCGGCCCAGUCAAAGGCCCGUAGAACUUAAUCAGGUACUAGUGGGCCAGCCCAAUAACGGCCUGCUUAAUAAAGGCCCAUUUAUGUCCCGAAACCAGAUCUGGCCCGUUAAUUGUUCGCCCAAUAUUUGGGCCCAUUUGGGCCCGAAGGUAGAUCUGGCCCGUUAAUUGUUCGCCCAAUAUUUGGGCACAUUUGCGGCCCGAAGCCAGAUCUGGCCCGUUAAUUGUUCGCCGAAUAUUCAGGCCCAACUACAGCCCAAUGACUUUCGGCCUGUUAGAGGCCUGAUGUAGACCUAGGCCCAUUUCAGCCCGGUGUGACUUUCGGCCUGGGAAUGGCCCGUGCUGCCCAUGGGACGGGACAUCGGGCCCACUAACGGCCCGUGCUAAAGGUGGCAACAGUUAGACCCAACGUGACUUUGGGCAUGUUAAAGGCCUGUCGCAUAAUUCGGCCCGUUGAUGCCUGUACUAAGCUUUCGGCCUCUUAAAGGCCCAUGAUAUCAGUGGGCCAACUAAGGCCUGAGAUAUGUUUCGUCUUGGUAACGGCCCGUGAGCUAACUGGGCCCAUAGCGGCCCAGUCUACAUUUCGGCCUGCUGAAGGCCCGUCGACGACUAGUGAAAAUUGAGGCCCAACAUGCAUUUGGGCCUGCUAAAGGCCAGUGGUUUCAUCUUGGUCGUAACAGGCCAGUACAAUAUUCAGCCUGUUAAUGGCCCAACGCUACCUGGGCCAAACUAAGCGCUGGGUCGACAAAAGGCCCAACUAAAAUAUAGGCCGGUGUAAGUUUGGGCCUGGCGCAAUGUGUGAAGGCCCCAAUCAUUCGGGCCCAAGAAAGACGCAGGCCGGCCCAAUUGUGGCCCGCUAAAAACUUGGCCCGUUAGAGUCGAAUGUUUCGGCCCGGUCGACUACAUCUGAUUUUUUUUCAGACAAUGAAUGAUGGCUGUAACUAGUAGGAAUUAAGAACAAACCUACUCUAUACAAUAAAGAAAUUACGGCAUAGUAACUAAGAAUAAACCUACACUAUACAAUAAAGAAUUUAAGGUAUAUUACAUCCACUAGGCAUCGAAGUUCGCCACCAGUGAUCAUAAAGCGCAACGAAGAAGCAGAUUACAAAAACUGGGCACCAUUGCAACGUAACAAAAUAAUACUGAACCGAGACCACUUCCAAGACAGUUCAAGAAAGGUUAGCCUUACGGGGGAACUGCUGCGCAAGCUGCUGAGCAAGGUUGUGAGACCGGCCUAGCAUGUCGGUCAUAGCUUCCAGGUGUAGCUGUUUAGCGAUGAGGUUCUCAUUAGUGUUCUCCGCAAUCUUUGUUAGAGAUAGGACUUCAAGUCGAAAUUGAGUUGCAGAGUGCCUUUCUGCUAGAACUUGGGACGGAAGAAGUCGAACUGAUUCAGACAACGAAUUCUGUGAGCUUGUCUGACUGUCAGUCUCAAGUAACUUGAACACUACAUCAAGACAAAACUUUGGGGUUGUCUCGCUAUCUUCAAGAUGUUUUGCCUUCUUUGCUGCAAUAUAUGUUGGGUUUGUCUCACAGCCUUCAGCAGACUUGUGCAUGCCAUCAGGCAUAUCACACUGAAACAAAGCAGAGAGAUGACAGGUUUUGCACGUGUAUAAACAAAGAUGAUAACUGUUCUGUCAAUUCUAUCCAAUUUCAAAUUAGAAAAUAAAGAGUAAGUUCAAAAUAUCAAUAGCAUAAUUUGGCAUUGUUCAUAAUGCGGGGAGCUUCACCAUACUACUGGAUUACCAUGUCAACAUAACAAGCAUAGAUGAAGGGCAAAGAAAAUCAUUGUAUCUAUUUUGGAUAAUGUGCAUGGCAUGUUGUUCAUAUCAUCAACCACAUCAGUAAGAUAAAACAGGAGAUGACAAGGUGCAAACGUGGGCUACUUCACCACACACUGGAUUAUAGAUCCACAAAACCAAGCAUACAUAUAGGGAGUAUUAAGUAAUGUGCAUGGUAUGAAUAAGAAAUUUGGUUUUACAAGUAAAACUUAGAACUUACGGUUCUUACGAACAUGCAUUUUGGUAGAAACAGCAAACUAAACAGCAGUAAACAAUAGGGAGUAUGAGCAAAUUAAACAGCAGUUGAGGAUAAAGGCUUUAGAAGGACUGACUUACAUUAACAGUUAACACCGGCUUUAUAAUGCCCUUCACCAUGUCAAGGGAAGGAUAACUCAAGAAUUUUAGCAUAGAAUCUUCUUCAUAAGCAUUGCCUGUACUCUACAUUUUGUAGAGAGUAAUAUAGAUAUGAUAAUACUGGAAGGGAUAGAGGAUAAUGAAUAUAAGAUACAGAUUGAUGCUACAUAAUCAACUACCAAUCCCUGGAAGUACAAGCGUUAUAGGACAAAAUGUACUGACAAGAGCAAUGGGCUACUGUGGGACCUUGAAGUAAGUCUAGAGGGGGGUGUCGUGGUUCUAAGUCUGAUAGUAGAAUGGGGGGUAGGUAUGGAGAGGCAAGAUCCUAGCUAUGGAGUAGUUGUACACACGAGUGUUUAGCGAGUUCAGGCCCUUCUCGGAGGAAGUAACAGCCCUACGUCUCGGAGCCCGGAGGCGGUCGGCUGGUUUCUGUGUAUAUGAGUUACAGGGGUGCGAACCCUUUACACUGAGGAGGGGGGUGACUUAUAUAGAGUUCGCCAGGCCCCUCCGGCCCUCAGUUAUGCAGGGUUUAAAGUACAUUAAGACAGGGGGUUACUGGUAACGCCCUCAUAAAGUGCUAUGAAGACUAUUAAAACUACUUAAUGACAGACCGUUGCAUGCUGAGUGACUUUAGGUCUCCUGGCCGUCGAGUGGUUAGCUUCAUGGUCAAGUGGCUAUCUUCAUCGUCGAGUGUCCUUGGGUUCGUCGAGUGAAGUCCCUCUUGGUCGACUGGAAGGUAGCUUCUUCUAAGGGUGUCCUUGGGUAUGGUAUCCUAGACAGGUCCAUGAUCCUACCCUAGGUACAUAACCUCAUCAUUAGCCCCCGAAUGGAUCGAGGUUCGAGUGAGGAAGGAGUUGAUGAUUUUCUCCGACCUAUUUCCCGUGCUUUGAUUAUGUCGUAUCCUGGAUCAGCGAUUUUUCUUUUUGGCGUUGUCAUCAACUUUUCUUUCAAUCGCCUUGAUCCAUUCCUUUCAUCUGUCGAGUGAACUUUUGAACUUUAGUGAACUUCCGAGCGACGGAUCGUAGGAAAGAUAUCGUCUGACAGAUUGAUCUGCCGUUAGCGGAUUUUGUGGGAUCCGAAUUUUGGGAAGCGCGCGAAACGGGGCGGACCGCGGUACUCGGAUGGGAUAAGGCGCGGACGCCUCGAUUUCCGCGCCACCUUUUUUGCCACAUAUCGUGCGUGCGCGACUAUUUCGGGAUGUGAGAGGACCGCCCGGGCCUACUUUUCAGCCACUCGGAAGUGUCCUUAUAUAAAGCGCCGGGCGAGGGUUUUUUGAACAAUGCCUUCCCAUUCUUCUCUCCGCCCUCUUUGCCUCCGCCCGCUGCGCCUGCUCUCGCCUCUGCUUAUCCACUCCUCGCGCGCUUCGCCGGCGACAAUGGUGAAGGAGAAGACGGCGGCCUUGGAGCACGCGAAGAAGGCGACGGCGGCGGGGAAAGCGAAGGGGAGAGCGUCCAGUCGGGGCGGAUCUUCGUCAAGAUCCCGCUUGCCAAAGGGUUGGGUCCAAGGGGAUUGGAUCCAUUCGACCAUCACCGAGACGGAUCUCAAUGACCUGGCCAACAAGGGUCUAAUCCCCCAUGGGUCAGCAAGGCUUCCGGGGUCCGAGUGUCAACCGCAGCCGCAGGAGGGUGAGUGCGUCCUCCUAGCCACUCAUAUCGAUCGUGGAUUCUCUCUACCGCCGAGUGUUUUCUUCCGAGGAUUCUUGAACUUCUUUGGGGCGCAACUCCACCAUUUCACUCCCAAUUCUAUCGCCCAUCUCGCUGCUUUCAUUUCCAUGUGCGAGAACUUCCUGGGUUGUCGACCUCAUUGGGGUCUCUUUAAGCACAUAUUCACCUGUCGCUCACAGACGGUGAAAAAGGCGAGUCCAGGUGACCAGAGGACUAAGGUUAUCCAGAUGUGCGGGUGCCUAGGGAUUCAGAUGAGGAAUAAGAGUACUUUCCCGGCCAUGACCCUUCCUGAGUCGGUCAGAGGGUGGCAGUCGACUUGGUUUUACUGCCAAGACGAGCCGACACCGGGGCAGUCGGCUGGCCUCCCUCCGUUUUCCAUGGACCGAGUGGACAAACCCUCUUCUUUGAAGGUGCUUCCUGAGGAGAAAGCUCAGGUAAAAAUGCUGAUGGAGCGCGUAGUCCAACUCGUUAGGGACGGAGUGACGGGUAUGGAUCUUCUGGAGGUCUUCCUUAGGCGGCGCAUCCAACCACUUCAGUACCGAGGCCACCCAAUGUGGUUGUAUUGUGGUACCGAAGACACCACUCGGGUCCAUCUAGAAGCGGUCGACAACGCCACACUAUAGAGGUGGGUGGCCGCAAUCACGAGGAAUAAGGACAACCCUCGAGGGGCUAGGAGGAUCCCACCACUCGACUGUACCUACACACCGGACACGGUAUGGCCACUUAUUUCCAAUUGCAAUCUUGCUUUAUUCAUUCUGCUUCGCUGCGAAUUGGUCGACUGAUCUUUGUUUUGCUUUGUUGUCUGACAUGCCACCACGGAGUUAUACUCGAUGCCCAAUGGAGCGCAAACACCGACUGAGGAGGAGGAAGGAAGUGGGGGUGAAAGCCCAGAGGAGUGGGAUUCGGAUGCUGACGACGAUGAUGAGGGUGAUGACUCUGGUGAGGAGGAGGAAGAGGAGGAGGAGGAGGAAGUUGUACCUCCUCGCUCAGAAAGACGCUCGAAGCUUGUCCAUGAUUCCGCGGUCGAGCGCGGUAAGGGGGUCGCAACCGUCACGCAGUCGUCCAAGCGCCCUCGGACUACUUCUCCGGCGCCGACUGAGAAAGCUCCGAAGCAAUCUCGGGUGGCGCCGUCGAAGUCGGCGAAGGUCUUGCCGAAGAUGAAGAUGGUGAUCCCCACUAUCUCAGGGUAAUGGUGUAGCUUGAAUUUGUCUGCUCCUCAUGAACUUAUUCUUGGUCGACUCAUGAGCUAAUCGACUGUCUUCUGAAACUGCAGUGCUGCUACUUCUGAUACCUCGGCCAGAGCUGGAGAUCAGGAGAUGGAGGAUGCUGUUACUUUGAAACCUGGUAUGACUCUUGUAGUUCCGUCUUCAGUCGAUUGGCUUCUUGUCUCUAAUUUUGAUUCUUUUCCUGCAGCUUCAUCUAACAUCGUUAUCGAUCUUCCCGACGACGACGAUGAGGAACCACCAAUGCAGAGGAGGAGCAAGAAAGCGUCUGCUGGCAAGGCGACUCAGGACGUGCCAGCACCCGAGACGUUGGUCGUGGAGGGAGACAAUGUCACUCGGCCUACCAUAACCUUUGCGGUGCCGUUGAAGAGUGCUCGUCCUUCAUCGUCGAGUGUUGCUCAACCCUCGCUUUUCUCAACCUACCACGUUCCAGAAGACCAAGCUAGUGCUGCUAAAGAAGCAAUACGCCAAGCGGGGGUCAUGAUGGAGCAAGUGAAGGCAAUACAAGAAGCCAGCCAGGCAGCCUAUGACGCCAGUUCGGCUCUUCAGAGUAAUGUUCAGGUCAGUCGGUCACUGCCUGUUCUGUUAGGAUAUGAUAUAUGAAAACUCUUCUUUAUGAAAUUCUUAGAGUUUGUCCUACACCCACUGGGUGUGUCGAUUGAAAUUCCGGAUUAGUGGGGGCACGCUGAGUGCACCCACUGGGUGUAGUCCCCAAGGCUAUGGUCGACUGCUGGCAGUCGACCAUAGGCUUUAUGUCUUAUGUUUUUUUUCUUACUCGACUAGGUCGAAUAGAUUCAUGGACCGGUGGGGGCACGCUGAGUGCACCCACUGGGUGUAGUCCCCGAGACCGUGGUCGACUGCUGGUAGUCGACUAUAGUCUGAAGAACAUCUCCCAUUUUUUUUGUUGGUCGACUGGUCGACUCUAACUGAUGAAACUAGUGGGGGCAUGCUGAGUGCACCCACUGGGUGUAGUCCCCGAUACUGUGGCCGAAUGUUUGUAUUCGGCCAUAGUCUUAGAAAUGCUAUGAUUUUUCCUUAGCCACUCGGAAGUGAAUUGUCUUUGACGUCUGUCGAUUGGUUCUUCGUAGAAAUCCUGCGACCUUGCGGCUCGUUACACUGAGAUGGAGAACAAACAUAUCCAGCUCGAGCUUGAUCUGAAACUGACCCAGGAGAACCUAACGAAGGCGAAGGAGGAGGUUAAAGGUAUGUUUGGUGAGGUCUCCGACGACUGCUUUUGCCUCUCGUUUGUUUCAGAGUCUGAUCUCACUGUAAUUUUGCAGACAAAGUGAGGGAUGCCCUGAAGAAGAAAGACCUUGACUUUGCUGAGUUGCAGAAAGCGGCUUUAGAGAAGAUCAAGCUCACAGAUGAAAAGCUGGCUUCAGUUACCAAGCUUGAAGAAGAAAACACCAAUCUGAAGGCUGCUCUUGAUGCUGCCAACAAGGAGGUCAGUCGACUAAAAAGUGACAAGAUUGCCCUGAAUGACAAGGCCAGCGAGUUGGAGGGAAAGAAGAACGAUCUGGAGGCUUAUCUGGGUGGACUCGCCAAGAAGUUAUUCCUCAUGCUUGAAGGUAAUCCUUUGUAACAAACAGACGUUUCAAUUGUGAUCUCCAAUUGUUGUCUUGAAUCGGUGGUUGUGCUUGCAGAAUUUUGCCAGAACUUUGAAGAGGAGACUGGUCGGCUGGAAAUAAACCUAGAUCCCAUCAACUCUCCCGUGAAAGAUGAAGUCGCCAUGAAUGUGCUCCGGCUUGAAUCUCGCGUUGCUGCCGUCGUCGACUAUCUUGCAAGGCUGAAGGUCGCAACUUCUCGCAUCGACACAACACUCUGGCCAAGAGAGACGCUCCAGAACGACCUCGAGUCUCUGAUGACUCGACUGAACGAGGUCCCAAGUCGAGUGCAGGAGUGGAAGAAGUCUUCGGCCAGGUGUGGUGCGGAUGUUGCUCUGUCUCUGUUCCGCAUUCAUUGCAAGGAUGCUCGAGAGGACAAGCUGGUGGCCCUUAGGGUGGCUAACACCAAGAAGCACGAUUUCCGAUCCUUCAUGCAGACGUUCAUCGCCGCCGCCACUCGAAUUGCAGAUGGAAUCGACCUGGACGAGUUUGUUGCGCCUUCCAGCCCUCCACAGGAGGGGUAAAAAACUUCUGAGCUUGAUACUUUAAAUUUGCCUCGGUAUGCCGAGUGAGUUUUGUAACCGACAAACCUUAACAGGCUUAGCGCCUGAGCACUUUCGGUUCCGUUAGGUGUUAUCCAAACUUGGAUUCAACGUUGAAUAUGUUUGCAUUUGGUUUGAGGUGUCUUUUGCAGGUUAAAGCGAAGCGCUUAUUGCAAUCGACUUGUUCCCCAAUACACUUAGGAGAACACUAUACUGCAGCUAAGCCCCCGAGUGAGAGGUUUGCUCUCCACUCGGUAGGAUUUCAGAUACUUAUGUGAGCACUGGGCUGCAGCUAAGCCCCCGAGUGGGAGGUCUGCUCUCCACUCGGUAGGAUUUUCAAAAACUUAGGUGAGCACUGGGCUGCAGCUAAGCCCUUGAGUGGGAGGUCUGCUCUCCACUCGGUAGGAUUUUCAAAAACUUAGGCGAGCACUGGGCUGCAGCUAAGCCUCCGAGUGGGAGGUUUGCUCUCCACUCGGUAGGAUUUUAGAUACUUAGGCGAGCACUGGGUCUGCAGCUAAGCCUCUGAGUGGGAGGUUUGCUCUCCACUCGGUAGGAUUUCAGAUACUUAGGCGAGCACUGGGCUGCAGCUAAGCCCCCGAGUGGGAGGUUUGCUCUCCACUCGGUAGGAUUUUGUAUUGGUGGUGUAGCUCGGAAGGAGAGGGUAGCAGUCGACCUACACCUCGUCCUCCUUGCAGAGCGCAUGUUGUAUUUGUGGCGUAGCUUGGAAGGAGAGGGUAGCAGUCGACCCGCACCUCGUCCUCUUUGCAGAGCGCACAUUGUAUUUGUGGCGUAGCUCGGAAGGAGAGGGUAGCAGUCGACCUGCACCUCGUCCACCUUGCAGAGCGCAUGUUGUAUUUGUACUUAGGCGAGCGCAAUGCUGCAGCUAAGCCUCCGAGUGGAAGGCUGGCUUACUACUCGGUANNNNNNNNNNNNNNNNNNNNNNNNNNNNNNNNNNNNNNNNNNNNNNNNNNNNNNNNNNNNNNNNNNNNNNNNNNNNNNNNNNNNNNNNNGUGUUUGUACUUAGGCAAGUGCUAUGCUGCAGCUAAGCCCCUGAGUGGGAGGCUGGCUCACCACUCGGCAGGAUUUUGUUUAAACUUAGGCGAGUACUUGGACUGCAGCUAAGCCUCCGAGUGGAAGGCUGGCUUACCACUCGGUAGGAUUUUGUUUAACUUAGGCGAGUACUUGGACUGCAGCUAAGCCUCCGAGUGGAAGGCUGGCUUACCACUCGGUAGGAUUUUGUUUAACUUAGGCGAGUACUUGGACUGCAGCUAAGCCUUCGAGUGGAAGGCUGGCUUACCACUCGGUAGGAUUUUGUUUAACUUAGGUGAAACGGAUUCGCAUCUAAGCCCGCGAGUGGGNNNNNNNNNNNNNNNNNNNNNNNNNNNNNNNNNNNNNNNNNNNNNNNNNNNNNNNNNNNNNNNNNNNNNNNNNNNNNNNNNNNNNNNNNNNNNNNNNNNNNNNNNNNNNNNNNNNNNNNNNNNNNNNNNNNNNNNNNNNNNNNNNNNNNNNNNNNNNNNNNNNNNNNNNNNNNNNNNNNNNNNNNNNNNNNNNNNNNNNNNNNNNNNNNNNNGGUAGGAUUUUGUUUAACUUAGGCGAGUACUUGGGUUGCAGCUAAGCCUCCGAGUGGAAGGUUGGCUUACCACUCGGUAGGAUUUUGUUUAACUUAGGUGAGUACUUGGACUGCAGCUAAGCCUCCGAGUGGAAGGCUGGCUUACCACUCGGUAGGAUUUUGUUUAACUUAGGCAAGUACUUGGACUACAGCUAAGCCUCCGAGUGGAAGGCUGGCUUACCACUCGGUAGGAUUUUGUUUAACUUAGGCGAGUACUUGGACUGCAGCUAAGCCUCCGAGUGGAAGGCUGGCUUACCACUCAGUAGGAUUUUGUUUAACUUAGGCGAGUACUUGGACUGCAGCUAAGCCCCCGAGUGGAAGGCUGGCUUACCACUCGGUAGGAUUUUGUUUAACUUAGGUGAAACGGAUUUCGCAGCUAAGCCUUCGUGUGGGAGGCUGGCUCACCACUCGGUUAGGAUUUUUUUUACAAACUUAGGCGGAUCGGAUUCGCGGCCAAGCCACCCACUGGGGGAUUGUUUUAUAUGGACAAAAGUAAUAACAAUUACUAGGAAAACUAUAAAGCUCUUGUCUUUGAUAAAUAAACUACAGGAGUACUUUUAUAACAACUCAUCCGAGUGAAUUCUUAAGUGUAAAAGGGGCGGAGAAGCUUCGCAUUCCAAGAUCGGGGCUCGUCAAUCUGAUGCUCGACAUUGUAAAGACGGUAUGCUCCAUUGUGGAGAACCUUGGUGACGAUGAAUGGACCUUCCCAAGAAGGAGCAAGCUUGUGUGGUUUCUGCUGAUCCAAUCGAAGAACUAGAUCUCCUUCCUGGAUGGCUCGACUCUUCAUGUUUUUAGCGUGGAAGCGACGCAAGUCUUGUUGAUAAAUGGUCGAUCUGAUCAGAGCCAUCUCUCUUUCUUCCUCUAAGAGGUCGACUGCAUCCUGCCGCGCUUGUUCUGCUUCAGCUUCGGUGUAGAGCUCGACUCGGGGAGCAUUGUGGAGAAGGUCACUCGGCAAGACUGCUUCAGCUCCGUAGACCAAGAAGAAUGGAGUUCUUCCAGUCGACCGGUUGGGCGUGGUCCUUAACCCCCAAAGCACCGAGGGAAGUUCGUCGACCCAUGCACCAGCCGCAUGCUUGAGAUCACGCAUCAAACGGGGUUUCAACCCUUUGAGAAUCAAACCGUUGGUUCGUUCUGCCUGCCCAUUCGACUGUGGAUGGGCGACUGAAACAUAGUCGACUCGUGUGCCUUGAGAUGUGCAAAAAGCUCUGAAUUCUUCGGAGUCGAAGUUUGACCCAUUAUCAGUGAUGAUGUUGUGCGGGACUCCAUAUUUGAAUAUCAGUUCUCUGAUGAAGCUGACAGCAGUACCGGCGUCGAGGUUCUUGAUGGGUUUGGCCUCAAUCCACUUGGUGAACUUGUCGACUGCUACCAGCACAUGGGUGAAACCGCUUCUGCCUGUUCUCAAAGGGCCGACCAUAUCCAGCCCCCAUACUGCAAAGGGCCAAACAAGUGGUAUGGUCUUUAAGGCUGAGGCGGGCUUGUGUGACCUAUUGGAGUAAAAUUGACAUCCCUCACACUUGUCGACUAUCUCCUUUGCCAUUUCAUUCGCUCUGGGCCAAUAAAAACCAGCUCGGUAUGCUUUGGCCACGAUGGUCCGAGAAGACGCAUGAUGGCCACAGGUCCCCGAGUGGAUGUCGUUGAGAAUCAUUCGACCUUCCUCCAGUGUUAUGCAUUUCUAGCUGACUCCAGUCGCACUUUCUCUGUAUAACUGACCCCUCAUGACGGUGAAGGCUUUGGAUUAGCGGACGAUCUCCCGAGCCUCUUCCUCAUUCUCUGGGAGUUCUUUUCUCAAAAUAUAGGCGAUAUAGGGCACUGUCCAAUCGGGAGUGAUGACCAAAACUUCCAUGAUCAAGUCGACCACAGCUGGGACCUCGACUUCAGUUGGAUCUGUGGCACUUUCGGGCUGCGGGACUCCUUCCGUGAAAGGAUCUUCUUGAACCGACGGUGUGUAAACAUGCCCCAAAGACACGCCACUCGGAAUGGCUUCCCUCUUGGAACCUAUCUUCGCGAAGUCAUCGGCUGCUUGAUUUUUCAGUCGGGGAACAUGAUGGAGCUCUAACCCUUCGAAUUUCUUUUCGAGCUUCCUCACUGCAUUGCAGUAUCCAGUCAUGGCUGGGCUUCUAACGUCCCACUCCUUCAUCACCUGAUUGACCACCAAAUCUGAGUCGCCAUAAACCAUAAGGCGCCGUACGCCGAGUGAAAUGGCCAUGCGCAACCCAUACAAAAGUGCUUCAUAUUCUGCUUCAUUGUUGGAGGAAUCAAAGUGGAUUCGGAGCACAUAUCUGAGCUUAUCUCCUCGGGGAGAAACCAAAACUACCCCAGCACCAGAACCAUUUAACAUCUUAGAGCCAUCAAAGAACAUGGUCCAAUGCUCCGAGUGAACUUGAGUCGGCUGCUGCUGUUCAAUCCACUCGGCAAGGAAAUCUGCUAUAGCCUGGGACUUAAUGGCUUUCUUUGCCUCAAAUUUGAUAUCAAGGGGAAGGAGUUCAAUCGCCCAUUUAGCCACUCGACCAGUUGCAUCUCUGUUGUGCAGAAUCUCUGACAAUGGAGCGUCGCUAAUGACUGUAAUGUCAUGAUUAGAGAAAUAAUGGGCAACCUUCUUCAUGGUCAUGUAGAUCCCAUAUACGAGCUUCUGAUAAUGAGGAUAUCUUUGCUUCGAUGGGGUCAAAACUUCAGAGAGAUAAUAUACUGGGCGCUGAACUUUGAAGGUUUUACCUUCUUCUUCCCGCUCGACCGUAAGUACUGUACUGACGACUUGUCCUAUGGCUGCAAUGUAAAGCAACAGAGGCUCUUUGCUGAUUGGAGAAGCAAGCACCGGCUGGGUGGAGAGCAGAGCUUUUAGCUCGGCAAACGCUGCAUCAGCUUCUGGAGUCCACUCGAACUUGUCUGCCUUCUUCAUCAGUCGGUAAAGAGGCAACGCCUUUUCACCGAGGCGAGAAAUGAAUCGACUUAAUGCGGCCAAGCAUCCAGUAAGCUUCUGGACAUCGUGCACACGCACAAGGCGUUUCAUUCAGAGUAUGGUGCUAACUUUUUCUGUAUUAGCAUCGAUUCCUCGCUCUGAAACGAGAAAACCGAGUAACUUUCCGCCAGGCACUCCGAAUGUGCACUUUGAUGGAUUGUGCUUGAUAUCAUAUCUCCUAAGAUUGGCAAAUGUUUCAGCUAGGUCAGUCAACAGGUCGGAACCCUUUCGUGACUUGACCACGAUAUCAUCCAUGUAUGCUUCCACAUUCCGACUGAUUUGAGUGAGUAAACACUUUUGAAUCAUUCUCAUGAACGUGGCUCCAGCAUUCUUGAGACCGAAUGGCAUGGUGAUAUAGCAGAAGCACCCGAAUGGAGUGAUGAAAGCUGUUUUAAUUUCGUCAGGUCCAUACAGACGGAUCUGAUGAUACCCGGAAUAGGCGUCUAAAAAAGACAAUCUCUUGCACCCCGCAGUCGAGUCGACAAUUUGGUCGAUGCGAGGGAGAGGAAAAUGAUCUUUCGGGCAGGCCCGAUUGAUAUGUUUGAAAUCAAUGCACAUGCGAAGUGAGUUGUCCUUCUUGGGAACCAUGACGACAUUGGCGAGCCACUCGGAGUGGUAUAAUAUAUCUCUCAGAUAAACUCUCCUGCAAGGAGUCGAGCCACCUCCUCGCCAAUGACUUUUUUCUUCUGAACGGCGGACCGUCAAAGAUGUUCCUUAACAGGUUUCGCUUUUGAGUCGACUCUAAGGCGAUGCUCAGCCAGUCCCCUGGGAACACCCGGCAUGUCAGCUGGCUUCCAUGCAAAGAUGUCCCAGUUCUCACGGAGGAACUGGAUGAGCGCUUCUUCCUAUUUAGAGUCGAGUGUUGUGGAAAUAUGGGUCGGAGCUGCGUUGGGGUCAGUCGGGUGGAUAUGAACUGGCUUCGUCUCCCCUGACGACUGGAACGCUGACUCUGUGGCGGGCUUCUUGGCCCGCAGCAAAUCACUCGGAUCUGCAUUUUUCUUAUAUUCCUCUAGCUCAACCACUGUUAUUUGGGCAUCUGCGAUCUUUGAGCCUUUCUGGAAACACUCUUCUGCCUUCUUCCGGCUGCCAGUGAUAGUGAUCACGCCCUUGGGGCCAGGCAUCUUUAACUUGAGGUACACAUAACAUGGUCGAGCCAUGAAGCGGGCAUAGGCUGGUCUUCCCAAAAUAGCGUGGUAAGCGCUCUGGAAAUCCACGACUUCAAACGUCAGCUUCUCCUUGCGGAAAUGCUUCGAGUCACCGAACACUACAUCCAGAGCUAUUUGGCCGAGUGACUCAGCCUUCUUCCCAGGAAUGACUCCGUGAAAACUCAUGUUGCUAGAGCUGAGCCUGGACAUCGGAAUGCUCAUUCCCUUGAGCGUCUCUGCAUACAGUAUAUUCAACCCACUGCCGCCAUCCAUCAAGACCUUCGUCAGUCGAGUGCCUUCGACGAUGGGGUCGACCACCAGCGCUUGCCUCCCAGGGGUGGCAAUGUGAGUGGGUGAUCGGAUUGGUCGAACGUAAUGGGAGUUUGCGACCAUUUCAGAUAACUUGGCGUCGCCGGGGCGACCAUAUUGACCUCUCGGUUGAUCACUUUCAGUUGACUUUUGCUCUCUACGUCAGCAAAAAUCAUCAGGGUGGAAUUGACAUGAGGGUACUCUCCAUCACUGUCCUCCUUGUCCUCAGCCUUGUCCGACUCCUUCUCCUUGUCCUUGGGCUGUUUCCCUUGAAACUGCUGGAUUAAGAGCUGGCACUGGCGAGUGGUAUGUUUCGGGUAGAUGAAGUUACCCUCCUCAUCUUUCUUCGUGUGGAUGUGACAUGGUAGAUCCAUCACGUCAUUACCUUCUUUAUCCUUUACCUUCUUGGGGUUCCAAGAUCCUUUGGGAUUCCCUUUGAAUUUGCCCUGAGUCAUGGCCAGAGCCUCUCUAGGAGUAGCUGGCUCGGCCUUCCGCUUCUGUUUCCGACUGGAGUUUCCCUUUUCCGACUGACUUGGCUUAUACUUGCCACUCCGGUGCCUGUCUUCUUCUUCACCGUUGGCGUAUUUGGUGGCAAUCUCCAUCAUUCGACCUAGGGUCAUAUCUCCGGUUCGACCAAACUUCAGGCUCAACUCUCUGUUCUUGACUCCAUCCUUGAAGGCGCAGACCGCUUGAUGGUCCGACACAUUCUCCACGGUAUGAUGCAAGGUGAUCCAUCUCUGGAUGUAAUCUCUGAGUGUUUCACUCGACUUUUGUACGCAGACUUGCAGCUCCGCCAGUCCGGCCGGUCGCUUGCAAGUUCCCUCGAACAUCCUGAUGAACACUCGGGAAAGAUCUUCCCAGGUGUAAAUGCUGCUAGGAGCUAACUGAUUCAACCACGCCCUGGCCGAACCCUCCAGCAUGAGUGGCAAAUGCUUCAUGGCCACCUCAUCAUUACCACCACCAAUCUGUACCGCCACUCGGUAGUCUUCAAGCCAAGUUUCAGGCUUGGACUCUCCGGUGAACUUACUUACCCCAGUCGCCAACCUGAAAUUGGGGGGUACACUGCGGCUCUGAUGGCUCUGCUAAAGCAUUCUGGACCUGAAACAUGGACUCGGCUGCUAGUGGGCACAUCUCUAUCAUGGCCACCUCUGUGAGCUCUGUUCCGGUCGACCAAACCUUGCACGAUAACGGAUCUCGCGUCAAAGCCUAGUUCUCUGGGAUCGAUCGGAGCUCUCCGCCCAACACUGAGCUGGCGCCUGUCAUCUUGCUGCCGAUGGACGUUAGACCCACUUCUCGGGGGAGGAGUGGGCACUCGACGCCUAUCAUCACGAUCAAAUCGGUCAUCAUAGUGGUCUCGCCGGCCUUCACGUCCCACGCGCCUCGGAGGCGACCUUGGGCUGUGAGCCGACUAUACAGUAUUCGUAGCGACGGAUCCACUGUGAAUCCUGUUGCGCGACUGUGACACAACUGAAUUCUGAUCUCCUGCCGCCCGGAGCAAAUCCCUGAUCUGCAUCAAGCCUCUUCCAGCCUCCGACUAGGAGGGCUGAAUUGACUCCGCUAUGCGGGCUGCAGCUGCCAAAUUCUGAAUCGGGGUUCGAUAUACCUGAGUCGGUUGAGGAAAGAGCUGACGUCGUCUGGAGUCAGGUACUCGUUGACGCGCAGCUCGUCGAGUGCUCACUGGAGGUUCUCCAGUCGAGUGCGUUCAGCCAAGUUGGCCAAACGCGCCUCUUCCAAGGCACGAGCCUCAGGAGUUUCUCCUGCGAUGGGAGUAUGCAGGGCAUCCAUGUUUCGGCGGCGAAGAUCUUCUCUUUGCUGAGAAGUGAGUGGCUCGGGUUGAUACUCUUCGUGGGCCUGAGCGGGGUCGCCUCCAUCGUCCAUCCCGUCGGUGCGGGGGAAACCGGGAGGGCUACGAGGCCCGUUGACCAUCAGGACCUCCGCCGGUGGAUCACUGCUGUCGCACUCGGAUGCAGUCUCCACGGAGCCAGUCGACAGAUCGAACAGGCCGUAGAGAGAUUCGUCGGGCUCUAUUGCCGCGACUUGGGUGGUGGCCGAUUGGCGAGCCACUGCGUGUCUCACCCAUUGCUGAAGCCUCGACCGACCGGAGCGCUUGCACUGGCGGGAGACAGGGAGGGGGGACGGCACAGGAGUCGACCGGUAUGGGGUCGACGGCUGCCGCAGCAGGAUGCCAUGGACACAUGCCCGAAAGUGCGUCGCCCCGCGGACGGGGAGCGCGUCGAUGUCGAGUGGUGCCUCCUGGAGCCAAGCGGAGUCGUCGGCGAUGAAAGCGAGCGCACCGAGACGGAUCUCGCAGCCCUCGAUCAGAGCUCCGCCAGAAACCAUGAUGAAGGCAAUCGGACAAAUUGCAACUUCUCCAAAAAGUCGCUAAGACACCUGCCCCAUGGUGGGCGCCAACUGUCGUGGUUCUAAGUCUGACAGUAGAAUGGGGGGUAGGUAUGGAGAGGCAAGAUCCUAGCUAUGGAGUAGUUGUACACACGAGUGUUUAGCAAGUUCAGGCCCUUCUCGGAGGAAGUAACAGCCCUACGUCUCGGAGCCCGGAGGCGGUCGACUGGUUUAUGUGUAUAUGAGUUACAGGGGUGCGAACCCUUUACACUGAGGAGGAGGGUGACUUAUAUAGAGUUUGCCAGGCCCCUCCGGCCCUCAGUUAUGCAGGGUUUAAAGUACAUUAAGACAGGGGGUUACUAGUAACGCCCUCAUAAAGUGCUAUGAAGACUAUUAAAACUACUUAAUGACAGACCAUUGCGUGCUGAGUGACUUUAGGUCUCCUGGCCGUCGAGUGGUUAGCUUCAUGGUCGAGUGGCUAUCUUCAUCGUCGAGUGUCCUUGGGUUCGUCGAGUGAAGUCCCUCUUGGUCGACUGGAAGGUAGCUUCUUCUAAGGGUGUCCUUGGGUAUGGUAUCCUAGACAGGUCCAUGAUCCUACCCUAGGUACAUAACCUCAUUAGGGGGGUGAUUAGACUACUUGACCAAUUAAAAACUUAACCUUUUCCCAAUUUUAGAGUUUGGCAGAUUUUAGCUAUCUUAGGACAAGUCAAGCAAUCAUCACACAAUUCAAGCAAGCAUGCAAAGAGUAUAUAGGCAGCGGAAAUUAAAGCAUGCAACUUGCAAGAAAGUAAAGGGAAGGGUUUGGAGGAUUCAAACGCAAUUGGAGACACAGAUGUUUUUGGCGUGGUUCCGAUAGGUGGUGCUAUCGUACAUCCACGUUGAUGGAGACUUCAACCCACGAAGGGUAACGGCUGCGCGAGUCCACGGAAGGCUCCAGCCACGAAGGGUCCACGAAGUAGCAACCUUGUCUAUCCCACCAUGGCCAUCGCCCACGAAGGACUUGCCUCACUAGCGGUAGAUCUUCACGAAGUAGGCGAUCUCCUUGCCCUUACAAACUCCUUGGUUCAACUCCACAAUCUUGUCGGAGGCUCCCAAGUGACACCUAGCCAAUCUAGGAGACACCACUCUCCAAGAAGUAACAAAUGGUGCAUUGAUGAUGAACUCCUUGCUCUUGUGCUUCAAAUGAUAGUGUCCCCAACACUCAACUCUCUCUCAUAGGAUUUGGAUCUGGUGGAAAGAUGAUUUGAGUGGAAAGCAACUUGGGAAGGCUAGAGAUCAAGAUUCAUAUGGUAGGAAUGGAAUAUCUUGGCCUCAACACAUGAGUAGGCGGUUCUCUCUCAGAAAUGGUAAGUUGGAAGUGUAGGUUUAGUCUGAUGGCUCUCUCCAUGAAUGAAGAGGAGGUGGAGGGGUAUAUAUAGCCUCCACACAAAAUCUAACCGUUACACACAAUUUACCAAACUCGGUGGGACCGAAUCAUUAAACUCGGUCGGACUGAUUUAGUAAACCUAGUGACCGUUAGUGAUUUUCAGUGGGACUGACAUGCAUCUCGGUGAGGCCGAUUCGGUUAGGGUUAGGGCAUAACGUAAUCUCGGUGAGACCGAUUACACAAACUCGGUGAGACCGAUUUGGUAAUAAGCUUUCCAGAGAGUUGGUCAGGUAAACUCGGUGGGACCGAUUUGCCCUUUUCGGUGAGACUGAAAUGUUACAAAAAGGAAACAGAGAGUUUACAUUGCAAUCUCGGUGGGACCGAUCGCUCACUUUGGUUAGACCGAAACGUUACGAAGGGAAACAUAGAGAUCGCAACCCCAUCUCGGUGAGACCGAGAUCCCUAUCGGUAAGAACGAUUUUCUUAGGGUUUGUGGCAGUGGCUAUGACUUUUGGAAUCGGUGGCGCCGGAUAGAAAGAAUCGGUGUGACCGAUUUUGGCUUUAGGUUUAGGUCAUUUGUGGAUGUGGGAAAGUAGUUGAGGGCUUUGGAGCAUAUCAGUAAGCACAUGAAGCAAGAGGCUCAUUAAGCAACACCUCAUCCCUUCUUGAUAGUAUUGGCUUUUCCUAUAUACUCAAUGUGAUCUUGGAUCACUAAAAUGUAAAAUGAAGAGUCAAUCCUUUGUCCUUAGUAUUUUGAGGGAUCCACUUUCAUCAUCCAUGCCAUGCCAUUCAUUGAGCUUUCCUGAAAUAAUAGUCUUGGAAUAGCAUUAGCUCAAUGAGCUAUAUGUUGUUAUGAAUUACCAAAACCACCUAGGGAUAGUUGCACUUUCAAUCUCCCCCUUUUUGGUAAUUGAUGAAAACAUAUAGAUCAAAGCUUUGACAAAUGAUAAUAAAAUUUAAAUAACAUCGUCGCUUUGAGAAAUAUGUGAUAAGCAAGAGCUCCCCCUAAAUUUGUGCAUAGUUUUAGAUUUGCUUUGGACUGAAAAUGCACAAUGAAUUAGGCUCAUGGGUUACCCUUCCAUGUCACAUACAUCUUGGUGGAGCGCUCAAAAUAAUAAACAAUGAAUACAUGCACUCAUCACCAAGCAUAGUGAGUGAUCACAUAACAUAGAUAGGAUAAUAUCAAGCAUGCAUAAGUGUAGCUUAUGAUCAAACACAUGAUCAUCAAUGUCUCACAAGCAUAGUAUCUCAACCAAAAGCAAACAAAGAUUGAAAAACCACCAAAUAAAGCAAGAGAGAACAAAAGCAACACUCUCUCUCUCUCGAAGCCUAUGAUCUAUACAUUUUUCUCCCCCUUUGGCAACAAGUUACCAAAAAGUUCAUAGAAAAUGCAUAGUGCUAGAUCGACUCUCAGGCUUGAUCUUCUCGUGGUGGUGUCCUGAUAACUCCAAGGAUGAAGGCUUCAGUUGAUGUAGAGGGUGCUGGAGUUGAUGCUGAAGCUGGUUGCACUGGAGCUGAAGGGGCAGUGGCUGGUGCUAAAGUUGUUGCUCUAGUGUCUGUCACUGGCACUGCAACUGACCUCUGGGCUCUGGGCACUCUGGCAAACUCAUUGGUGGUAGUCUUUCCCUUCCUCUCCUGCAUGUCUUCCUGCAGCUGCUCCACAACUGACUGAAUCUCAGUUACCUUGACAUCUAGAUCAUAGAAUUUUUGUUCCAUGAUUCUUUCCAGGCUCUCCUGGUUUUGAGUUAGGGUGGCCAACCCCUUCUCAAUCCUCAGAGAUGAUGCUAUCAAGUAACCAAGCUGCUCCUGUUUGGUUUUCAAGAAAUAUUCAGAUGCCUCCUCUUGAGUUGGCAUCUUGGCAGCCUUCUCCCUCUUUGCCUUCUCCUUCUUCUCCUGAGCUUGAACUGAUUGUGGAUCAUCUUCAUUCAUGACAACCUCAUUGUCCUCAAAGUCUGGAUAAAGUGGAAAGUGUUCCUUAUCCAACUGAUAUUUUCCUGUGCCCAUCUUUGAGUUUAUCAAUUCUUGAAUUUGAGGUGCAUAUCCAUAGCUCCUCUUCUAAUCUGCUGCAGUCCUUUUUAUGGUUUCAACUAUAAGGCUCAUGACUUUAAUUUUUGUGGCACAUCAAAUAAAUGCAACAUAUUGAUGGCAUGCCCUCUGAUCAUGUUAUGGUCACCAGACUUGGGCAACAAAGUGUGCCUCAGAAUCCAAUUUAUAUUUAGGCAGCCCUGACAACAGAAAAUGGACUGAUCCAAAAGUGAAAGUCUCUAGGGCUUUGUCUGGGAUCUCCUUGUACAUGUGUGCCAUGGUAUUGUGUCCCAUUUUCUUCUUGGCAUAUACAUCCAGAUCAUCAUCAUUUUCCUUUGGGGCAUUGAUCAGACUUGCCCAUUCUUCUACAGUGGACUGGUACCUUGUACCUUCAGACAUCCAAACUAUUUUUCCAUCUGGGUAAAAGUGUGCUGUGGAGUAGAACUGCAUGAUAAGCUCAUCAUUCCAGUUGGUGAACUUCUGUCCAACAAAAUCUGCAACUCCACAGGCAACAAAGCUAUCUUUCACUCCAGGAUAGUGUUGUUCAUUUUCCUUGAUGAAUUUCCAGUCAACCCACCUCAUGUCACAGACUAUGGGCUUCUUGUCCAACAGAAUUGUUUCAUAGAAGUCCUGCUGUUCCUUUGUGUGGAACCUGUAAUCAACAGCAAUUCUUCUCCUUGUGGCAUAUGGAUCUGCCAUCCUCCAUAUCCUCAAUCCUGAGUCCUUCCUGAUUCUCAUGUCCUCUGCCACGGGAUGGGCAUCAUUGUGAUCUGGUAUCUUUGGCUUGAGUUUCCUUAGAACCUGUCAUACUUCAUCUUCCUCCUUAGCAACCUCAGGCACUGGGGCCUUGUUCUUCUCAGCAGCUGGAAUACUCAUGGUAUUCCUCUUUGGUGCAGACUUGGCCUUGGGGCAGCUUUGGGUGCUUCCUUGGGCUUAGAUGUUGCAGCCCCAGAUUUAAUAGCAUCACCCAUAAGCUUUGGUGCCUUUGGUGCUGGUGCAGAAAGCUCUUCCUCUUCCAUCAUGGAAGGUUGCCCAACAACUCUGGCCAUGGUCUUCUUGACCCUUUCCUUCCUCUUCUUGCUUUCAUCAGCUGGCUCUUUGGGAUCAGGAUUUUCAGGCAGUUGAGUUGAUGCUCUUGCCUUGGGCAUAGGUUGCCUUCUUGCAGGCCUUUUAAUCUUCAUGCCUAGCUUUAUAUCCUUUGCUGAGCCAUAUUCCUUAUUGAGCACCACUUUCUUGGAAGCAGCCUCAUCUUCCUCAGCUUUGUAAUCUUCAUCCUCUGAAUCUGAAGUUCUUUUCCUCCUUUGCCUAGUUGCAGCCUUAGGCAAAUUGCUAGGAGUACUUCUGCUCCCUUCAUCUGAAGUUGAGGGACUAGUGCCCUCACUCAAGUCCAUCUGCUCUUCUGACAUGUUCUGGCUGUCACUUUGAUCAGACAUACUGCAAAAGCUGACUACUGACCCUGUGAAGAUUUAUAGAUGAGAUAGAAAAGAUGAGCAUCACAAAAUGCAGAGGUUUUUGCAAAAGAAUGACUCAAAAGUUCAGUCUUAGUUUUCCACAGAAAGCAUUUCGGAUCCACUGAUUUUCAAACUCGGUGAUACCGAAGCAGUUUUGGAACCUAAACUGAUGAUCUCGGUUGGACCGAGUUUCAGUUCGGUGGUACCGGGACUGCUAGGGUUUCACAGAAUCCUCAAAUCGGUUGCACCGAUUAGUAAUUCUCGGUCAGACCGAGAGUCACUAGUGCAAUGGCAUAAGCCAAAUCGGUGAGACCGAGUUUUUCAACUCGGUGGGUCCGAGAUGGUUUUGGCGGAAACCUAACCCUAAAAAUUUGAAUCACAUCUAAUCUAUGAACUACUUUGGCUGGAUAGAAGAGUUUCAAUUGUGGCAAGAAUCAAUAUGAAAACAAUGUGCCAGGAAUCAGACGUGGAUAGCACAAAGAUUAAGUCCAUACCCUAACUUGGCGGUGGACUUGCUACAGCGGCAACGGCGGGGACGAAAUCCGUUGACGGCGGCGGAGACCAGCGACAGGAGGCUGCUGGCGACGAGGAGACGAUCCGGAGACCAUGAUGGCACAGCGAGCUGUUGCGCGGGUGAAGGGUUUCGGAGAAAUUUCCAAAAUUUUGCCCGUGGCUAUAUAUAUAGGUCGACCCUGUCGGUGUGACCGAGUGGAACAACUCGGUGGCACCGAGAUGCAUAACUGUGUUCAGUUACAGCAAAUCGAUGAGACCGAAAAGUUCAAAUCGGUUGCACCGAGAUUGAAAACUCAGAUCAACUUGAUGAUCUCGGUAGGACCGAAAUGGAAGGAUCGGUCAGACCGAGAAUCACUAAGAGGUUAUGGAAGUUUAAGUCUAUGACGAAUCGGGGACUCCGAGUGCUCCUCACACAGAGUGGUUCAAAUCUGACUUGAUCAAAUUUUGUGAUGUAGCAUGAAUAGAGUUUGAGACGAGAAAAGCAUAGAUAGCUAAAGAAGGUUCUUAGGCAUUCUGGUCCAUCCACUUGGCACAAAGAAAAGAAUCCAAACAAACAAAACAACAAGUGGAUGUCCUUGAAUGAGUAAAAUAUGCACCAACAUGCUCACACAAUAAGAUGGCAAUUGAAAUAUGUGGCAAACCAUGCACAACCAAUUCUAGCAUCUAUCAAACCAUUGGCGAUGACUAGGUCAUCUAUAUAUGAGUAUAUUGACUUAGGAGUCAAAUGAGAACAUUUGAUCAUAGGUCAUACUCAUCGUUUAAGCUCAAGUGGGGUUACCACUUUUACAUAAUGCAUUGAUAUGUUCACACCAUUAGAGUUGCUUUGACUCAAUUCUUAGAGUUAAGCUCCCCCUAGAUGUGAGAUCCCCCCUUAGAGGGAUGAACUAACCUUGGGUUUUGUCGAUGAUGACUUCAUGUAGGUGUUGAAGAUGUAGAUGCUCAAUGUUGAUGUAGAUCAUUUGGAGCAAUCCUUUGGAGUGAGUUGCACUUUCAACUUGCCUACAUGGGUUAGUCCCACAAGGAACAAACAAGAAUAUCCAUAGACAUAGAGUGAUGCACACACAAGAUGAUGUCCAUGAAAACAUUAGGUUACCUUGUCCCUUGCCUUACCAACAAGAGGGUUUGUGACUCCUUGAACUAGUGCAAGAUGUGAAAGUUGAUUGCACUUGUUCUUGCCAAAAUGAUAUGAGUGAAGAAUGUUGGCGGAGUCACCAUCAAGAACUCUCUAGUUCUUCUUCUUCGGGAUCCACAUCAUCUUGAUGGGAAUCCUUGGAGUUGUAGUUGUACUUGAUGAAGUAGAACUUGACGUAGUCUUGGGGACCCAACUGAACGAGGCUUUAGGUGCUUCUUCAAAUGCAUCAAUCUCUUCUUGAAGCUUGUCCUUGCCUUUGUUCUUGUGGUCUUGUGGUGGAAGAUCAUCUUGAUCUUGUGUCCCCUUGAAGGAAGUAGGAUUAUACUUCUCUUGUUGAGGAAAAAACUUUGUCUUGGGGUAUUGAUCUUCUUCCCACUCAACUCCAUUGGUGUUGAACUUUCGUUCAAAACCAACACCUUGAUUCUUCCGGUGCCUUCCUUGCUUGCGUACAAUUUCCUCGAAUUGCUUACUCCUGGCAAGGAUCUUGUAAACACCUUUCUCUAUAAUUCCCUUCAAUAAACUAUUUUCUUGCUCAAGUGUAACUUGGCUAAGAGAAUCAUUAGUGGAAUCAAGAGAACUACUAGAAGCAACAACAUUGGAUUUGACAUUAUUAUUGUUACUACUAGAGGAAGUAUCUUUCUUGUACUUGUUACUAGACUUGACUUGAGGCAUGUAAGUAGAUAAGAGUAAACGCUUGCAAUGUAAGAAGAACUUUUCUUGCGGAGAUCAUCAUUGAUUGCCUUUAAGAACUCAUGCUCUUGCUCAAGAUUGAGCUUUUCAAAGCGUAACUUCUCAUGAGCCCUUAAAAGUUCUCGAUGAUCUUCGAAGAUAGUUUCAUGAGCCAACUUAAGAGUGUUUAGUUCUUUAGUUAGAAGCUCAAUUUUCUCCUUAUCAUUGUCAUUCGUUUUAUUAGCAUGAUUAAUUAACGUUUCAUCAUAGUAUUCAUCACUAGAGUUGUCAACAAGUAAACCAUCAUCCACAAGCAAGUCAUCUUCAUCACUAUUGAAAUCAACAUACUCAGGAUGUGUUACCUUUGGACCUUUGGCCAUGAAGCAUCUUCCAAUUCCUUCAUUUGGUGAAUCAAAUAUGUCGUAGGAGUUGGUUGACACAAGUGCUAGACCGGCAACUACUUCUUCUUGAGUAUGUUCGGAGUCGGAGUGAUAGCAUCUCUCGGAGUGAUUGUCGGAGUCGGAGCUGGAUACCCAUUCACCAACAUGAGCUUGAUGUCUCUGUUUUGUGUAGCUCCUUGAUGACUUGUCCUUUCUUUCUGAAUCCUUGCUUCUCCGUGAUGGUCUUCGUUCAUAACGAUCAUCUCUACUCCUCCUAUCUCUUGGUGGUGAUUCUUCUCUUUUGCUUCUUCUUUUUGGAGAAUCUUCUCUUCUUUUGUAGGGUGCCGUACACUCAUUGGAGUAGUGUCCAGGCUUCCCACAAUUGUAGCAAUUGCACUCUCGACUAGAAGAUCUCUUGUCAUGAUAAGACCUUGACUUGGAGCUUCUUUCUUUGCUUCUACUCUUGUAGAAUUUGUUGAAGUUCUUCACCAUUAAGCUUAAUUCUUCAUUGAAGGUUUGUUUCUCACUUGAUAAUGUGGGGGCUUCACUUGAGGCUUUGUAAGCACCACUUGACUUGUUGUGAAGUUCCUCCUUAUCCUUGAGUGACAUCUCAUGAGCAACAAUUCUUCCAAUGACUUCUGUUGGCCUGAGAUUUUUGUAGUUUGGCAUCAUUUGGAUCAAUGUGCACACAGUAUCAUACUUUCCAUCCAAUGCUCUUAGGAUCUUCUUGAUGAUGAAUCUGUCGGUCAUCUCUUCACUCCCUAAGCCGGCAAUCUCAUUUGUGAUAAGUGCAAGCCUAGAGUACAUUUCAGCGACACCUUCACCAUCCUUCAUUUUGAACUUGUCAAGCUAACUUUGGAGCACAUCCAACUUGGAUUCCUUGACGGAUUCGGUACCUUCGUGCAUAUUAAUCAAAGUAUCCCAAAUUUCCUUUGCAUUCUCAAGACGGCUGAUUUUAUUGAAUUCUUCGGGGCACAAUCCGUUGAAGAUGAUAUCACAGGCUUGAGCGUUGUAUUGCAUCAUCUUCAAUUCUUCCGCAUUCACUUCACAGUUCGGUUCUCUCCCAUCAAAGAAUUCACCUUGCAACCCAAUACAAAUAAUUGCCCAAACGGCGGGGUUAUGUCCGAGAAUAUGCAUCUUCAUCUUAUGCUUCCAACUAGCAAAAUUAGUACCAUCAAAGUAAGGACCUCUACGGUGAUAAUUUCCCUCGCUAGAUGCCAAACUCUCCUAGGUUGUGAAACCAAGGCUAUGACCACCAAAAGCUAUGGAAAUCAAAGCAAAUGGAGACCAAAGCUCUGAUACCACUUGUAGGACCUAGAAGUAAGUCUAGAGAGGGGUGAUUAGACUACUUCACCAAUUAAAAACUUAACCUUUCCCAAUUUUAGAGUUUGGCAGAUUUUAGCUAUCUUAGGACAAGUCAAGCAAUCAUUACACAAUUUAAGCAAGCAUGCAAAGAGUAUAUAAGCAGCGGAAAUUAAAGCAUGCAACUUGCAAAAAAGUAAAGGGAAGGGUUUGGAGGAUUCAAACGCAAUUGGAGACAAAGAUGUUUUUGGCGUGGUUCCGAUAGGUGGUGCUAUCGUACAUCCACGUUGAUGGAGACUUCAACCCACGAAGGGUAAUGGCUGCGCGAGUCCACGGAGGGCUCCACCCACGAAGGGUCCACGAAGUAGCAACCUUGUCUAUCCCACCAUGGCCAUCGCCCACGAAGGACUUGCCUCACUAGCUGUAGAUCUUCACGAAGUAGGCGAUCUCCUUGCCCUUACAAACUCCUUGGUUCAACUCCACAAUCUUGUCGGAGGCUCCCAAGUGACACCUAGCCAAUCUAGGAGACACCACUCUCCAAGAAGUAACUAAUGGUGCGUUGAUGAUGAACUCCUUGCUCUUGUGCUUCAAAUGAUAGUCUCCCCAACACUCAACUCUCUCUCAUAGGAUUUGGAUCUGGUGGAAAGAUGAUUUGAGUGGAAAGCAACUUGGGAAGGCUAGAGAUCAAGAUUCAUAUGGUAGGAAUGGAAUAUCUUGGCCUCAACACAUGAGUAGGUGGUUCUCUCUCAGAAAUGGUAAGUUGGAAGUGUAGGUUUAGUCUGAUGGCUCUCUCCAUGAAUGAAGAGGAGGUGGAGGGGUAUAUAUAGCCUCCACACAAAAUCUAACCGUUACACACAAUUUACCAAACUCGGUGGGACCGAAUCGUUAAACUCGGUCGGACCGAUUUAGUAAACCUAGUGACCGUUAGUGAUUUUCGGUGGGACUGACAUGCAUCUCGGUGAGGCCGAUUCGGUUAGGGUUAGGGCAUAACGUAAUCUCGGUGAGACCGAUUACACAAACUCGGUGAGACCGAUUUGGUAAUAAGCUUUCCAGAGAGUUGGUUAGGUAAACUCGGUGGGACCGAUUUGCUCUUUUCGGUGAGACCGGAAUGUUACAAAAAGGAAACAGAGAGUUUACAUUGCAAUCUCGGUGGGACCGAUCGCUCACUUCGGUUAGACCAAAACGUUACGAAGGGAAACAGAGAGAUUGCAACCCCAUCUCGGUGAGACCGAGAUCCUUACCGGUAAGACCGAUUUGCUUAGGGUUUGUGGCAGUGGCUAUGACUUUUGGAAUCGGUGGCGCCGGAUAGAAAGAAUCGGUGUGACCGAUUUUGGCUUUAGGUUUAGGUCAUUUGUGGAUGUGGGAAAGUAGUUGAGGGUUUUGGAGCAUAUCACUAAGCACAUGAAGCAAGAGGCUCAUUAAGCAACACCUCAUCCCUUCUUGAUAGUAUUGGCUUUUCCUAUAGACUCAAUGUGAUCUUGGAUCACUAAAAUGUAAAAUGAAGAGUCUUGAGCUUUUGAGCUUGAGCCAAUCCUUUGUCCUUAGUAUUUUGAGGGAUCCACUUUCAUCAUCCAUGCCAUGCCAUUCAUUGAGCUUUCCUGAAAUAAUAGUCUUGGAAUAGCAUUAGCUCAAUGAGCUAUAUGUUGUUAUGAAUUACCAAAACCACCUAGGGAUAGUUGCACUUUCAGCUACACUUCUGCACUGGCAUUGUUUGUGUAUUCUACUUGUUGGUAAGAUUAAAUAUAUAUAUGAUCUUUUUUAGUAAAUGGUGGGCGAGGGAGAUAAGAUGCAGAAUGCUACAAAAUGAACCAAUCCCUCUUCCCAUAAUACAAGAGUGUUUUGAAUACUGGUGUACUGUACAAAACGUUCUUAUAUUAUGGGACGGAGGGAGUAGCUGUUAAUGUAAGUACAGUGAUAGACCACGUUCAAUCCUUACAAGAGGACUGCAGAGCUAAACCUCUUCAAAAGCAUUGGGUUGAUUCUAAAUUUGUGUAAGAGUCCAUAUGGAUCUUAUAAUGUCCACCAAAUGGACGAUUACGAGGCUAACAUGUGCAGUGAUGCUACAUAAUCAAACAACUAUGAAAGUAAGUAUGGUCAUACAGGGCAAGAGGUACUCACAAGAGCAAUGCAGUGUGCAGUAUAGUUGCGAGAUUCUGUGGUCCCUUGAGAACGAAUGUUCUUCUGCUAACAGUUUUCGUACAAGUGAGACAUUAAGGCAAAUGCAGAAAUGUAGUUCAAAUUGUGAUGUGGUAUCAUAGACAGUACCUUACGCUACAGUCCGAGACCAAUGUGUAACAGGAUUAUUCCAGUCACCGUCGGAUAAAUGUAGCACCGGAGACUUUACAGAAAUUUCAUUCAGAGGCUUGCCAUCAAAGUGCGCUUGCCUCAGGUAGGAACGAUACUUCAUCAAUGAGUGCUUGAAAAGCGCAACCAACUCUUGCUCGUCAUCACAAUCCAGUUUGCUCCUCGCCUAUUUAAAAGAAUGAAAUCUUGUGUCUUCUGUCAGCAGAAACAUAUGCAGUAAUGACCAUGAAUAAUAUUAGUACAUUACUUACGCAUAAGUUACGGAGGAAGACUGGAAAUUGUUCUGUGUCUGCGGUAUAAUCUUUCCAUGAAGGAAAGAUGCCCACAAAGUUCCUGACAACAACAUAAGCUUCGUCUUCUAAACUGGGAAGAAAUGGAACAGGGGUCCUAUAUGCUGCAAUUGGGGCUCUCUCUGGUUUGAAAAGGGAUUUGGCAACUGGAUUUGGUGUACUCUUUGCUGGAAUGGGGCUUUUGUGUCGUACAGCUGGUGCUAUGUCAACUGGCAUAAUCAUACUGUUUGCUGCAGUUGGGGUCUGCUGAGUUGGGGCAUCAGAAAUUACCAGUGUAGUAGGGCUAGAGUCUGCUAGAGUUGGGGUAUUUUGUGGGUCAGGUGAUAUUGCAACUACACCUAAUGGGCUAUUUGAUUUAUCAGGUGCCACUACCUUUUCCAAAUACUUUGCUUGUGCUCCUCCACGAUCAGCAAUCGCCCUCUUCCUUUUGAACGUCUGAUACACAAGAACAGCAUUUGAAUGGAUAAAUAUGGUAUGAUGACAGAUGGAAUAUGUACUGAAAAUGGAUAGGCAGGGCGUAUUCACAUACACGAUGUGUAAACUAAGCUAAUGGUAGUUCAACAAAGUAGAAGCAAUGCAAAGCAUCAGUUGCAAGAUAUGUGCGAGCAAUGUAACCUUGGAAAGUUAGAGCAAGUACCUUGAUGGGUGAAUAAGAUAAGGCAUCUUCCUCUGACUCCUCCACUAGGGAGAUACAUUGACUUAGGUCUCCCUAUAGCUCAGAAUCACUGUUAGGAUCAUAUUCUGAGCAUGAAUCUAUAGGUGGAGAGCGUUUGCAUUGCAUUGCAUCCAGACUUGAUUUCAGUCCCUUAAUGCCAAGUUUGACGACCAUGGCAUUGUUCUGCUUUAUUCUUUUCAUGCGAGCAAGCUCAUAAUCAUUAUGAUGCUGUUCAGAAUCUAAGAUUCAUGAAAACAUAAAAAGUAGUCAGAUUAUCUAUGGAAUGCAUUGUGGAUUCAACUCGGAGAGUGUCUCCCUAUAAACCCCUGCAUAUGCAAAGUUCACCUCCCCAACCAUGCUGACCAGACCACACACAGAAAUACAAACCCCUUAUGUUUGUAUAACAGGCAGACACACAUGUCAAAACUGAAGUAGGAACAUUAGAAUCAUAUGAAAUUCGUAUUUGAACAAAUAAAUUAAGAAAUUAUGAGUGGCGUAAUGUUUAACUUCAAGGGUGGAGUGUUGGUAGUGCGACACAAAGCAAGUAGGCAGAUUGUAUUCCAUGUAAAAGAUCGAAACCUAUGUAAAAGCUGGAAAUGGCACUUUCUUUCUAUACAAUGCAGUGUUCGUUACCCACACAUGAUGGAAGAGAUCACAUAGAGAAAUACUAUUCAGUCAUGUCUACGGUUCCAGUAUUUAGAAACAGGGUGGUCCACCCUAAAAGAAUAUUGACAACAAAUAUGACAAGGCAAGCAUAGAUGUAGUAAAUCAAUCAUUUACUUGUGAGCUUAUUAGGACAAGUAUGCAGAAUUGUAAUUGCAGUAAGAGACCGUCCAAAAUCUGAAUGAAGAAGUUUGUCUAGCACUUAUUGUUUGCAAUUAAUCGACGUGAAUAAUUGGAUAUUAUAUCGAAUGAGUAAGAAAGACAAGUAAAAUUGUCAACAAACCUGGCUUGUAGUAGUAAUAUGGGUCGAUGUCACUACGACCAACAAUCCAAAAUGACUAGUUUCUGUUCCGAGGGCCAGAAUUUUGAAAACCCUCUGAACUUUAGAGGUACUAAAGAUUACCGAAAUACAUCUGAACCAUUAAGUGUAGGUAGCACUGAGCACACAACAAACCCUAAUGACAGUCCUGCCUAAUGAGUAAUGAAUCAAUUAGAAAAUGGGUGACGAGGAGUGGCUGCUGAGUGUUGAGGACGUAUAUCAGGAUAAAUCGGGUUGGCUUGGUGGGUGCUGCACGCCUGAGCGCUGAACGGACUGGGAAGGUAGGCACGGCGGCGCGCCCGGGCAGCGGUGACGCUGUUGGGAGAGCGGCUCCUGGCCUCCUAUUAGUCCGGCGUCUCCUCCUAGAGUCAUGCCGUCCGGGGACAGCAAGUCGCCAGCGAGGUAGGCGGCUGGGGCGAGUAGAGAUCGGAAGCGCGCAGCAGAACAGAGGGGAAUCGGGGCCUGGGACAACACAAAAUCCUAGGGUGGGCCGGCCCACCGUGGGCACCCUGUAGAGAUACACACCCGAGCGGCGAACAUGCAUUUUCGAAACUAGUUUAGGAACAUUUAGCUGACCAAUUAAACAACUCUGUUUUAAUAAUAUCAGAUUCGUAUUUGAACAUCUAAGCUUGUUUAGCUUGAUGGGUGGAGUAGUGUUAUUAUGCCACGAAGCACAUAUUCUGAUCGUAUAGUGAUCAUAAAAGGGGGAAACUCUAAGCAUAUUUUUUGAGCAAAAGAGGGUUUCCCCUCCGAUUUCUAUUAAGGAAACCACCAUGGAACCAACAUGAUCAAUUAAACCCUAAGCAUGAUCAAUUAAACCGUAUUAUGUCUGUGCCAUGGCAGAUUUGAAGGUGCAAACUGGAGAAAUGAUAUUUAGCAUCCAUUGUUUGCUUCGAACUAAGAACUAAAUUCUAAGCACUGAAAAGAAAGUAGCGUAACCAAGUUAAGAUCUAUUUUUUGGUUGAGAUCAAAAAGUUGAGGAGAUAUGAAGUACCACCUCUCUUGCGGUGCCGUGUAGGCAUCGGGGGUGCGAUGGCUGUCGGUGGCGUUGAAGCAGAUCUGCGACGGUAGACGGGUGCAUCGAGGGAUAAGUCCCGUUGCGGUGGAAGAGAAGGUCAUUUGAGCGGCCCCGGCAAAGAGGAUGACGACGCCGAUGAAGCGAGAGGACGCGAUGCAAGGCUAUUGGUCCGUCGCCGUGGAUGAGAAACGUCCAUCUCUAGUAGUGGACUACGCGGUCUUGGUAGGCGCCGACAUGGUGGAGGACGGUGGCGAUGGAUGUGGUGGAGGAUGGCGGCGAUGGAUGGGGUGGCGGACGGAGGCUGGUGUGGGCAUGGGGUGUUCUAGCGCGAACGGUGUAUGAAUGGGAAAAUGGAGGGAGAGGUACGGGGAACCAUGUUUUUGGGACGCGCCUGUCUGAAAUAGGGAAAGUUACAAACUUAGCCCCCGUUUAAAAUUUGGACGUCUCGUCGGUUGGGGAUAGGACGGUAAUCUCGCAUCUCGCCAAUAUUUGCCCAGAGCGAUUUCGGGCGAGGAGAGGGUGGUUGGCGCCCAUGGUUGGCGCCCACGGUGUAUGAACGGGGCUGACAGGUAGGGCGGUUGUGUCACGUCUGAGUGAAGUUACAAACCUGUCCCUAUUGAAAAUAUUUGCCUACAUCGAUUUCGGCCGAGUCGAGUUUGUUUUGCUGCCCACCAUGUAUGAAUGGGGAAUGGAGGGAGAAACAGAGGUCUUUCGGACGAGCUUGAAUCAAAUGUGUUUUUCCGCCCAUGUUUGACGCCCACCGUGCCGGAAUGGGCUCAGAGGCGGUUGUGUCACGUCUAAUUGAAGUUACUAACCUACUCCUAUUUAGAGCAGUGGAAAUCGGGCCAAUGGAUUGUCUGUAUAAUGGGUAGACAGUAAUUUCCAUCUCCCAAACACUUGGCUUCGGGCAGCCGACGUGGGAGUGGACAUUUUGCUGCUUCUUUCGAAUUUUGGGACAAUAAGCAUCCACGUUUACCCUGGCAACUAAAUUCGAAUCCACUUUGUAUUCCUAUAUGAAUCUUUAUAAAUCAUUCUAUGUGUUUUUAUAUAUCUUCAAAAGGACGACAAAGAUGUAUUCCACUGUCAUAUAUGAAUAUGGUUUACAAAUGCCGAUACUCAAAUUCAGAAACUAGAAUCCAGUUUAAGGUGAAUUCGAAUAUUUGGAACACUUCAUGUCCAACUCAAAUGUCACACGCAGCAUAAUGUGUACUCCCAUUUAGAUAUGUAAUAAGCGAUGUAUCAAGAUUCAAAUACCGAGUCAAUCAACCAAGAAUGUACAGAACUAACAGACAUAUAAACACUUAUAGAGUAUAUGGAUCAAUAAUAUCAACUAACAUACAUAAGCCAGGCCGCUGUACUUUUUUUUGGCUACAACAGCAUCCUUUUUUUAGCCAGCAUCUUGGCCCUUUCCGAUGCGUGCCACUUAUGGUCCAUCUAUACUACUACUAUUGCUGAAUGCACAUUCAGCCCGAUUGGCAUAUUUGUAGGUCUGGCACAGAAAUCCAAAUGAAAUGUCUCAAACCAAAAAACAAAAAAAAAA
rnacentral:lncRNA from 1 species